UGUUGGAGCAAUUCUUAGUGGAGGCAGCCCGCCACUGCAUGGGCACUACCUAAAAUGGGGAUCUUGUCUAAGUGGGGAUGGUCCGCCACUAUUCAAUGUAACCUAAAUAAUAGUGUAUGGGCAAAGCACUAGGGUAGUGGGCUCAUUUUUAUAUCUUCAAAGUUUUUUGUGCAGAUUUUUAUUUUUUUUGGGGUUCCGGGGGUUGAGUUGACAUUUUUUUAACGGGUAAUUAUCAGAAACCUCCCCUAAGGUUUGGUAUAUUUUCAGUUUAAUAGAUUGUAUUCGUAUAUUUUUAAAAACCUCCCCCGACGUUAGUAUACUGUUAAUUUGACCGUUUGUUGCAUGAUAAAAUGACAAAUAAAAAAUUGUUGGUUCGUACUAGCAUGUUUGUUCUGGCGCCAGGGAAGGCGAAUACAAUGAAAAUACCAAAUCAUCCCUACUACUUUCCAAAAUGACUUUGAUGAAUGAAACAAAGAAAAGAUUUGAGUCAAAUAUCGCAGAAUUAGAAGGAAGCUUUUUUGCACUUUGCCUCAUUGCUUUGCUUUCUGCAUCAAAUUUCUUUCAAUCUUGGUGAAGAUUUUGCUUUAUUUAAUAUAAGAAGAGUAAAAAAAGUAGGUUGUUUUUUACACAAGUGAUAGAAAUACUUUUGAAUUUAGAUAAUGUUACACUAUUCAUGUCAAAGAAAUAAGAUGAUGAAGCCAUUUCCCCAUAUAUAUAGCCAACGAAUUAGUAUUUGGUACAGGAGAUGCAAUAGAAUUUUAAAUUUUAUUCCUAUAGGGCUACAAGUGAUACAAAUGAAUACACAAAUCGACCAUCACUAGCUUAACAAAAAGAUGAUCGAAUGCGUAAACAUGAAAAAAGUCUGCAAAUUGUAUACAUGGUAACUAUGCCUAAGUAAAAUAACAACUUUGAUUGAUAAUACCACCAGCAACAGGAGCUUCAUACCUUCUUUAUUAAUCGCUAGCUGGUAUGCUAUAGCUCAUCCAAGUGUAAAAUGAAUGGCAAUUGAGAUUUCGAGCCUCUAUAUACCCUUAAUAAGUUUUCCCCAACUUCAUCACGGACUACAAUUGCAAUAAGCAAUAGAAAAAUAAUCAUGAUACAAUGAGUCACAUAUACAGCAUGAACCUGCUUUAUAUAUAUCCAAGAGUCUGAAGAUAGAUACUUGGAGCUUGAUUUGCGAAAUGAUCUGUCAGGAAAGUCUCGAUGCAAAAUCUUCGUCCAUAUUUCAAACAAAAACAAGCAUAUCAAUCCUUUGCCCAGCGACAUUCCUAUAUAUGUAAAGCUUCUCAACAGGGAGCGUUGGCCUUGAAUCUGGGGGUCCACUCUUGUCAAUAACUUUAACAUUCAGUAUGGAUAUCCAAAUACACUGAAAUUUUCAUUUAUAACUCGAACAAAUAAGACAGGAAUUAUCCAAAGACACUGCAAUUUUGGACAUUGGCUAACAAGCUUGAUUAUGUCAGGACUUUGUAUAGCGACAUAGCUCAGAUUCUAGGUUGUUAGGCCAGAGAAAACAGAUUUGACAUAUCACAAUAUUUGACAACACAACCAGGCUGCAACUACAACCAAUUUUCCAAAGUUCUACCAAUCUCUAACCCAGUACAUUGCCUAAUCAAUCUUCUUGAAUAAUAUAGGCAGCAGCGAUUAUAAAACAAUUAUCUCCAGCCAACCCGGUAUGCCAGAAGCCAAAUCUAGAGCAGAGAAGGUUUUGUGAAUCUCCUAAAAAAUAAUCCAAUCUUUAAAUUAACAAAGACUGGCAUGAAUCCAUAUUCAACAAUCAGCAACAGUACCUUAAACGAAUAAAAAGUUUUCAGAGCCAUUUUCAAUCAAUCACAAGUGAACAUGCAUUUGCAGCAAUCAUUAACCUACAACUAACACUAAUCGACGGGACAAAAAAAAGGAAGAAACAAAAAAUUCUCAAAAAAUUUUCGAGACCCAUUAUUCUUUUUUUAACCAAAUCUCCUAAUUUCAGCUAACAAAUUUGACAUGCACGGAAAUAAUCUGAUUCGUACCUUAUUUGCGGCUCGAAAACACUGGGAUUAUUUGUGGGUCGAAUGCAAAAGUCAUUGGUCGAUAUCCUUCCACAUAGCCAUCGUGAAUCAGUCGUCUCUAGUAUUGGCGUCUCUGAAUUCAGUGUCAUGAUCUCCCAUUUGUGAGCAAGCCUUUUAAUCAAAGCACUAAAGAGAAGAUAAAAGGGAUGUUGUGUUUCAUGGCUUCGAUUUGAAUAGAGGAAAGAGAGGAACAUAUUUCCUUUUGUUUUUAAGUGGGUGUUAAUGUCUGCUGGGUAAAGGCUUUGCUUUUGUUCUUUACCCAAUGGACAUUCACAAAAUUGAGACCAAUUUCAAAACCCAACGUGAAAUUUUUCAAGCCCCAACGUGACAAUUUUCAAGCUUUCUUAAUUUUUUUUGGGUUAUUUCCACCCAACCCCCAAAUGUUUUGACAUUUUUCGCCCCGCACCCAAAUGUUUCGACAAUGCUCACUCCACACCCAAUUCCGUUAAUUUGACGGUUAUGUUUAACGGAGCUAUUUGAAAUUUAAGUAAAUGUCCGAAAUACCCCUUAUCUUGAAUUAGAGAAGAAUAAAAUGAGAUAAAAUGUUAAUUUAAUAAUUAAUAUUUACAUUAAAAAAUUUAUUUAAAGGUAAUUAAUAAUAAUCCCAUCAAUUAAAUUAUCAAAUAAAUUUAAUUUAUCAUCAUCAAAUAAUAUUUAGGGCAUGAAUUUCCAAAUUUGCCGUUUGACCGUUAGAAUAAAUGGUCAAAAUAACAUAUUUGGGUGUGGAGUGAGUAUUGUUGAAACAUUUGGGGACGCGGUGAAAAAUGUUGAAACAUUUGGGGGCAGGACGGAAUUAACCCAUUUUUUUUUAUCAUUAAUGGGUCUUUUUACAAUUUUAUCCUCACCAACCAAUUUAUACGAAACGGUAUACUAACGCUAGGGGAGGCAUUUGAAAAUACUUGAAUACAAUCUAUCAAACUGAGAAUAUGCUAAACCUCAGGAGAGGUUUGUGAUAAUUACCCUUUUUUUAACCGCUAUAAGCAUAUAUAACUCGUAAAUGGAUGAUGGACGUCUUUGAUGGGAUUAAAAGGACGUUUGGUACAGCAAUUAAACGAUAGUAUAUAGAACAUAUUUCAUCCUUCCAAUUGAGAAUAGAAAAAAAAAUCUAAAAAAAAUUGAAACUUCAUUUUUAAUUCAAGGUAUUCGAUGGAGACGGGAGAGAGAAGGUUAGAAAUUAAGAGAUGAGGGAUGGUUGUUAAUUAUAAGAUUAUUUUUGCCUUUUUUUUUAUUUCUAAUGAAUGAGGAAUUCAUUCAAUUUUAAAAAAAAAAACUAGUUUUUUUUAACUAGAAAUUAACUAGUUUUUUUUUUUUUUAAAGGAAUUCUAGCACGGGUUAUAUUUAGAAGGUAUCUGGGCCCCUCUUUCAAUUUGGGCUGGGUAUAGCCCAAGUUUUGACUCCAUAACCACUUGCUCCGUCCUACAUUUGAGUUUUGUUACAGAAGUAUAUUUACAAGGUUAUUGAUUUUAGUUAGCAAAGCCACGCAUGGCAGAAGAUGAGUGCAGAAAAGAAAAGAAAGAAAAAUACAAAAUGGAAAGCAAAGACCCCAUCGAGAUUCGAGCCUCCAAGACUUUAUUUUAUUUUAUUUUUGAAAAACUCGAAGACUCUAUUUAUGUAUACAUUUACAUUGAGAGCUCGUAAAGACAAAUGUGGUAGGACCAGCUUGGCAAGUCUUUUAUUUUUAUUUUUAAAUUUUUUUUUCUAUUUGGAGAAUUAAUUAUUUGUAUAAAUUGAAAUGACGUAAAAAUAUAUAUUGUUUUAGAAAAAAUUAAUAAAAAUGAUUAUAUAGAUCAUUUGAUGGUAUUAUCUAAUUAAUAUCUAUGUCAUGUCAUUUUAUUUAAAAAGUCGGUGAUUGUCACCGUUAGGAACUUUACUAUAUAAUUUUUAAAUAAUUUUAUUUAAUUAAUUAUUAAAUUUAAAUCUUGAUAGAGAUGAAGCGUUAAACAAUUAAGAAAAAUUUCAUUCGUAUACCUUAAAUUUAUACUUUUAUCAAGAAUAUUACAAUAUUUUAACGGUGUAUCAAUCGUCCACCUUAAAUUGACAAAAGUUAUCUGCCAAUCACUAAAUUGUUAGUUGUCGUUUGAAAGUUAACGGAACUAUAGUGAAUUAACAAUUUUACCCUUAAAAAUUAUCCUUUGUAUACCCUUAAAAUCUCUUAUUAUCACUUAUAUACCCUUAAAUUAUCACUUGUAUCAUAUGAAAAAAUUAUAUCACUCCUCUAACAUCAUCAUAUUUAAACAGCAACUAAUGGUUUGGUGGACGGUAAAUACAUUUUGUCAACUUAGGGUGGAGGAUUGAUAUACCCUGAAAGUGUUGUAGUAAAUUUGAUAACGGAACAAAUUAAUGAUAUACGGUUGAUAAUUCCCCAAAAAUUAAUUAAGCAUUGUCUACACCUCUUUCUUUUUUUUUUUUUUUAGCAUCAAUCGCCAGGUAAAAGUAGCAGUACAAGAAAUUGUAUGUAAGGCAAGAACAGGAGACCAAUUUUAAAAAGUUGGUGAUGGUCAAAAGUCGUUCACUAUAGACUCGUGCUCAUUAGUCAACAUCGGUGGCGUGGCAAGAUGCUCCAUAUUAUCCGAUGUUGGCACUUGGCAGGGUGGCUUGUUUUAAAAUUUUUAUUAGCAAUUUAUUUGGAUCCGGCUACGGUACCACCGUGCCACUUCUUUUAUUUUUUAUGGCUGUGUUAUAGUAAAUUUUCAUGUAACCCUUUUCACUCAUUUUUAUUUAAGCUUUGCUUUACAAAUAUUAAGUUAAUUUCUACUACAUCCAUAUAAAUAUUUUAGUUAACACCUUAUAUUAUUUAUUAUUUAUAAACUUUUAUUCUAUAUUAUACCUAUAUCACAAUACCCCACUCUUUAUAAUUUUGAGAUUAAAUAAUUAACAAGGAAAAGAACUGGAUCGACCCGAACUCGUAAACCCAACCCGGAUUCCGUUUCCAUUUCCGGCCACUCCACCGCCCAAGGUUGGUACCGAUCGAAAGAUCGUGCGACGCCGGUCAUCUCCAUGUCAUCUUUGUCGUAAAAAGAACCGGGUCAAACCGAACCCGCAAACCCAACCCGCAUGCAGUUUCCGUUUCCGGCCACUCCACCGGCCAAGGUUGGUACCGAUCGGAAGCUCGUGCGACGCCGGUCAUCUCCAUGCCAUCCUUGUCACCGGAAAGCGUUCGAAAAACUGCCGAUCGAAGCCGUGAAAAGCCGCUUCAAUUCGCCACGAUUUUGCCGGUUUCCGGUGACGCCACCACCUGAGUUUUGUUCCCCACAAUUCCCUCUGUCUUUUACGACCAGCCACAGCCACCAGAGGAGUUGAUUUGCCGUUGAUCGGACGUUGAAGGAUUCACGGGUUUGGGAGAAAUUAACUUAAUAUUUGUGAAGCAAAGUUUAAAUAAAAAUUAGUGAAAGGGAUUAUAUGAAAAUUUACAAUAACACAAUCAUAAAAAACAAAAGAAGUGGCACGGUACCACUGUGGUACCGUAGCCGGAUCCAAUUUAUUUGCAGCAAGUUGAUGGAUUGGAUGACCUAAUUUCCUUUCACCUGCUCUCUCUCACAUAUUUUAAAAAAGAACCGGAAACUAUUUCUGCGACGGAAUAUUCCAUGCUGAAAAAUAAAUAUUCCGAUUUCAAUGAAAACAAAAUAAAAAUGCAUCUCGAAAUGGCUUACAUCCACUCCCCUCUGUAAUUUACAUUUAUUGUAACUACAAUCAGCCAAUUUCAUCCGUUAGAUUUCAAUCAACGCAUAAGAGAUCAUUUAUGCAAAAUGAGUAGCAGGUGGGCCAUUAGUUGGAUUGUCUUACUCUUAUGGGCUCUAAUAAGACCCAAAAUUAAAAUAAUAAAAUGAGUAGGCUUUCUGGCACCCCUUAAAAAUCAAAAUUCUUUGUAAAACCCUUUCAGAUGAGAUUACUUAAAUAACUAAAACUAAUUAAUUCAUUUCUUAUUUAAAAUGGAAAUGAAACCUUCUUUUAAAAUUUUUUUUACAUCCAUCCUCUUUCAUAGUUUAUAUUUAUUUUUAAAUUUUAAUUAAAAAAAUAAUCAGUGUUGAGAAAAUUAUAAAAAUUUAGGAUUAUGGAGAUAAAAAUUUUAUAAUUUCAGAUUUUAAGAUUUUUAUGCUUUUUAUAAAUAAAAAUUUGAAAGAAAUAUUAAUUUUUGAGUAAAAUUUUAUGAUAAGAUGGUUGAUUUUAAUAUAUAAUCAGUAUUUUAUAAAUUAACCUGAGGUAUUAUAAGAAAUAAAAUUUAAAAGUGGGUUGAUGGAAGCAUUUUAGAGAGAUGUUAAAACCUCCACUAUAUUAAAAUUUCAAAUUGACUCUGAAAACAUAAACGCAGAUUUUCUUUCUAUGUGAAUUAGAAAGAAAAGAGAGGAAAUAUUAGCAAGGUUAAUUGCCAAUUGAGCUUUCCACAAAUAUUCCAACUGAACUUGUUCCUAGCUUGCAGCUGUUCAAUAUCUCCGCAGAUUUUCUCUACUUCAUCUUCCACAGUCCCUUAUCUUUUUCCAGUACAUUUUCUCAUCUUCAUUUUCAUAAUCAAUUUUUUCCUGAUUAAAUAAAAGGGGAAAAAAAAACCUGUUCCUUUUCUUUGUUCUGCGUAAUUUCGUUACUUCAUCCUCUUGAUCAAGUCCUUUUGUUUCCUUCAAUUUUUUUUUAAAAGAAGGUAAAAAUAUCUAUCACUGGAGAGGCCAUUCUAACAGUCACUGUUGAGAUGUUGGUUGAAAAGCUGGCUUCGGAGGUGAUUCAGUUAUUUGCACGCCAAGAACAAAUCGAAGCUGAUCUUAAGAAAUGGGAGGAGCUAUUGGUGACGAUCAAGGUGGUCCUGGAUGAUGCCGAGGAGAAGCAGAUAAUGUUGAAAAUUGAUUAAAAAAAAAAAGAAGAACAAAGAAAGGUAGCUUCAAAUUUGUUGAUCAAAUUUGAUGGCUAAGCCACUAAUUUUGAUCAAGAUUGGUGGGCUUGAUUUUAGGCAAAAUCUUGCCUAUAAAAGGAAGCUCUCAUUCGAGAGCUUGGUAUCCAAAUCCAAGAGAAGCAAUCCAAUUGAGAGCAUUCAAUUGGUGAAUGCAAGUGAAGCAUUGAGAGCUUCCAACAUGGGAGAGAAAUAUUCUUAAGCAUGUAGUUAUAUUGAAGGAGCAUUUGGCUCCUUAAUAUGGGUAUUACGAGUUUGCUUUGUUAAGGGGUAUUUCUCAGGAUUAUGUAUUUGGGGCUUGGGUGAGAAAUUUAUUUCUGAGAGUGUGGUUGUAAUAAUUUUCCACAUAGUGAAUAUUUUUCUCUGGUUGUCUUGUGACAACGGCUGUGGUUUUUCUCCGGAUUUGGAGUUUUCCACAUAAAUCUUGUGUUGUUUGAUUGGUGUAUGCUCCAUUUAAUUUUCUUAUUAAUUUGUUGCUUGAUAAAUUACUUGGAGUGAUCUUGGGAGGAAGUUCAAUUUCCUAACAGUGGUAUCAGAGCCCUUGAUUGAAGUUUUGGUGUCAGGGUACUAUUCACGUAUACGGUACUGUUCACGUGAAGCAAUAGGAGCCAAUCCAAAUAAUAUGUGGUGAAGAGAAUAGGAAGCAAAUAUGUCAGCAGCUGGUGUUUUUCAAAAUUGGUUGAAGUUUGAUGUUGUUGAAAAAUUAAUGGGAGAAUGAUUUUAUUGGCUUGCGGAGAAUUCAAGUCAAAGGUGUAUCCAAUCUGGUAUGCACAAAGAUUUGAAGGUGUGGACAAUUUUGGCACCUCAAGAAAAUUGUCAAGAAGGUGGAGUGGGCUCGGCAAAUUAAUCCAAAAUCAGUAAAGGAGACACUGAUAUUCUCGCAGAUGGUGAGUUUCCUUUUGAUAGGAGACUGGGUUAGUUCUUUUGGCAUAUGAUCUCCAAGUUGCCAUGAAAGAGAACAUGUUAUGAUCAGCGGGGUCCACAAGUUUGCACGCGGGCAUUGGCUUGGUAUAAAUGCAAGGUGUGUGGUGGAAAAGUUAUGUCGUGGCUGAAGAAUUCUUAGGGAAACCAAGCAUGAGAAUUGCACCAUAAUUUUCAGCGGAUAUGUUUGACAUGUGCCGGGAAAAAAAUCUUAGAAUGGUUGAUUCUAAGUGAUAUACUCUUUAUGGUGGAGUAUGAUAAUUCUCUAUGUUGAGAAUUAUCACUGUUGGUGAAGACGGUGCUUUAUAUCAGUAGUUAUGUAUUAUUUUUUUUAAUUAAGGUGGAGAUUUUUGAAAAUUGAUUAAAAAAAAAAGAAGAAAAAAGAAAGGUAGCUUCAAAUUUGUUGACCAAAUUUGUUGAUCAAAUUUGAUGGCUAAGCCACUAAUUUUGAUCAAGAUUGGUGGGCUUGAUUUUAGGCAAAAUCUUGCCUAUAAAAGGAAGCUCUCAUUCGAGAGCUUGGUAUCCAAAUCCCAGAGAAGCAAUUCAAGUUUUGGUGAGAAAUUGAGAAAGAAAAAUAUUCUUAAGCAUGUAGUUAUAUUGAAGGAGCAUUUGGCUCCUCAAUAUGGGUAUUACGGGUUUGCUUUGUUAAGGAAUAUAUUUUAGGGAUUAUGUAUUUGGGGCUUGGGUGAGAAAUUUAUUUCUGAGAGUGUGGUUGUAAUAAUUUUCCACAUAGUGAAUAUUUUUCUCUGGUUAUCUUGUGACAACGGCCGUGGUUUUUCUCCGGAUUUGGAGUUUUCCACGUAAAUCUUGUGUUGUUUGAUUGGUGUAUUCUCCAUUUAAUUUUCUUAUUAAUUUGUUGCUUGAUAAAUUGCUUGGAGUGAUCUUGGGAGGAAGUUCAAUUUCCUAACAGAUAACAAAGCCCUUGGUGCAGAAGUGGUUAAGCAAACUCGAAAACUUAGCUUACGAUGCAGAAGACAUGUUGGAUGAGUUUGCAACUGAAGCUUUCCGGAGGAAGUUGUUGCUGCUUGAACAAGCUGAUCGUCAACCCACCGGUACUGCAAGUAAGUUCCGGAUGCUCAUUCCUGCCUGCUGCACCAAAUUCAGUCGACGAUCUGUCAAGUUUGAUUCCAUGAUGGCGAAGCAAAUAGAGGAGAUUACGGCCAGAUUUAAAUAAAUUGCAGCAGAGAAAGAUCAACUGGAUUUGAAAGAAAUUUCGGGAGGGUUCAGGUACGGCAGAGUCCAGGAAAGGCCACUGUCAACAACCUCUUCGGUGAAUGAAAAGGAAGUUUACGGCAGAGAAAAAGAUAAGGAGGCAAUCGUUGGACUGUUGCUGGGGGAUGAUUUAAAUAGUGGCCGGGGAUUCUCCGUUAUUCCUAUAACAGGAAUGGGAGGUCUGGGGAAGACCACUCUUGCUCAACUUGUUUUCAAUGAUGUCAGAGUGAAAAAAUAUUUUUCUUUCAGAGCCUGGGCUUAUGUUUCCGAAGAUUUUGAUGCUGUUGGGAUAACAAAAGUGAUACUACAAGCAGAUGCUGGAAGUGUUGAUGUCAAUGAUUUAAACUUGCUUCAACUGCAGCUGGAGAAUCAACUGAAAAACAAGAAAUUUUUACUUGUUUUGGAUGAUAUGUGGAGCGAGAAUUAUGAUGUCCGAGCAAACUUAUGCAAACCAUUUAAAGCUGGCUUACCAGGUAGUAAAAUUAUCGUUACAACUCGGAAUGAAGGUGUUUCAUCAAUGGUGACCACUCCUGGUGCAGCGCACUCAUUAGGAAACUUGUUACGUGAUGGUUGCUUGCGUAUAUUUGUUCAACACUCCUUGCGAAGAACAGAUUUUGUCGCUCACCAAUACUUGAGCGAAAUAGGUGAGAAGAUAGUGGACCGAUGCAACGGUUCGCCUCUAGCAGCAAAGACUCUCGGGGGUCUUUUACGAGACAAAUAUGACCCUAAAGAUUGGGAAGAUGUGCUAAAUAGCAAAAUCUGGGAUUUGGAUGAAGAUAAAAGCGGUAUUAUGCGUGCUCUAAGGGUUAGCUAUUACUAUCUUCCUUCACAUGUAAAACGAUGCUUUGCACAUUGUUCGUUGCUACCCAAGGGCUAUGAAUUUGAUGAGAGGCAAAUAGUUUUACUAUGGAUGGCAGAGGGUUUGUUACAACAUAAGACUGAUGGGAUGGAAAUGGAAGAAUUAGGCCGCAAGUCUUUUCAAGUGCUCCAUUCAAGGUCAUUUUUCCAACGGUCAAAGAUAGAUGCAUCACGGUUUCUUAUGCACGACCUUAUUCAUGAUCUUGCCUGUUGGGCCUCGGGAGAAAUAUGCUUUAGUAUGGAGAGUAAUUGGGAUGGAAACAAUCAAGGGAUAUUUUCCAGAAAUCUUCGUCAUUUCUCUUAUCUCAGUAGCAGAUUUGACGGAAUUAAAAGGUUUGAGGGGCUCCAUGAAGUUGAACAUCUGCGAACUUUCUUAGCAUUGCCACUUAGCACAAGGAAGGAGCUGUACGUGACUAAUAACCUUGUUUUUCAUGUCAUACCAAGACUACGGCGGUUGAGAGCCGUAUCCUUGUGUCGCUAUUGGAUCUUUGAGCUUCCGGAUAACAUUGGGGAGUUGAAGCUUUUACGGUAUCUUGACUUUUCCCACUCUGCAAUUGAAGUUUUGCCUCAAUCGGUCAGUUCUCUUUAUAAUUUACAGACACUCAUUGUAGAGCAUUGUUACCGUCUAAAGAAGUUGUUUCCGGACAUAGGGAACCUUGUCAACUUGCGGCAUCUCAAAAAUUCUCAUUCAAAUCUAUUGGAAGAGAUGCCUUUGAGAAUUGGUCAAUUGACGAGUCUCCGAACACUGGCCAAAUUCGCUGUGGGUAAGGGCAAUUGCUCUGGUUUAAGAGAGUUGAGAUCUUUGGCGCUUCUUCAAGAGAAACUGACUAUUUCAGGCUUGGAGAAUGUGAAUGAGGUUGAAGAUGCCAAGGAAGUUCAAUUAACUGGCAAGGAGAAACUUGAAGCGCUAUCGCUGAAAUGGGGUGACAGUACUACUAGUAGCGAUUCAAGUGAGGUAGUAGAAAUCCAAACCCAGACUCGUGUUCUUGAGAUGCUAAAACCUCAUUAUGGACUGAAAGAGCUGAAAGUACAGGGUUAUGGUGGUUCAAAAUUUCCAGCUUGGUUAGGACAGUCCUCAUUUGAUAAUUUGGUGGUACUAAGGUUUAAAAAUUGUAACCAGUGUACCUCCUUGCCAUCAGUUGGGCACUUGCCCUCGCUUAAGAAUCUCUUUAUCAAAGGCAUGGCCAAAGUGAAUCCUCAUUUGAAAAUUUAGUGGUACUAAGGUUUAAAAAUUGUAACCAAUGUACCACCUUGCCAUCAGUUGGGCACUUGCCCUCGCUUAAGAAUCUUGUUAUCAAGGGCAUGGCCAAAGUAAGGAGUGUUGGUCUGGAGUUUAUUGGAAAGUAUUGCUCAGAGCCUUUUCGAUCACUAGAGACUCUUUGUUUCGAGGAUAUGCAAGAAUGGGAGGAGUGGAUUUCUCAUGGGGGUACUGCUGGUGGUGACCAAGAAGCUGCUAAAGGGUUUCCUCGCUUGCGAGAGCUUUCUAUUGUAAGUUGUUCUAAACUUAAAGGUAGAUUGCCCCAGCGUUUUUCUUCACUUGAAAGGAUUGUCAUUAGGAGUUGUGAGCAAUUGUUGGUGUCAUAUACGGCGCUCCCCCCACUCUGUGAACUAGAAAUUGAUGGAUUUAGUGAGGUGGCUUGGAUAAGUCAUCCUGUUGAAGCAGUUGUUUCUGAUUCUUCAAAUUCAGGGCUGGAGGAGUCAAGAGCGGAAUUUCUGCCCCAGGAAAUUACGAUCCCUAAUCAAGAAUCACUACCGGAUGGUCUGCACAAACUUGGCCAUAUUACAAGGAUUUCGAUGGUUGGUUCUCAUUUGGUUUCUUUUGCUGAGGGAGGGUUGCCCACAAAUCUGAGCGAGCUCAUCCUUUUUGGUUGUCCAUAUCUAACGGCCCUGCCCAACGGCAUGUACAAUCUCUCUUCUCUUCAACGUUUGGAAAUACGAGAUUGUCCACGAAUAGCAUCCAUUCCUGAGGAAGUUGGUUUCCCCCCAAAAGUCACAACACUGGAGCUUGAAGGCCCAAACAUCUGUACAUUAUUCUUCAAUUUGGGGUUCCACAACCUUACCUCAGUUCGAGAACUCUUCAUCGCAGGAGGAAGGGAAGACUAUGUGGCCUUCCAACAGCUUCCUACUUCUCUAGUCGAACUGGAUGUCAGAGAAUUUCCUCGGCUGGAAUCCCUGUCCUUUGUACGCAUCCUCACUUCAUUGGAAAGACUUGAGCUCUGCAGAUGUUACAGUCUAAAAUCUUUUCCAGAGAAUGGCCUGCCUCCUUCACUUGUGUUUCUAAAUAUCUAUUUAUGUCCUGUCUUAGAGGCAAAGCGCAAAAAGGCCGAAGGAGAAUAUUGGCACUUGGUAGCCGACAUACCUUUUGUCGAACUCAAUCACAAACUCGUCUUUGAUCCCCGUGAAUUAUCUUGAACUAUGAUUAUUUUCAUAAUCACGAGGUACGUUCUUGUUUAAAUCUUUAUCUAAUCUUGUCAAUUUGCUUCUUUUUUUUUUUCAAUUUUUUUAAUGGUCCGAACAAUUUUGUAAUGUAUUUUUUUUCCCCUUUUGUUGCAGUUGAUUGUACGCACGUAUCAUCUUCUGGUUCUUUGUGAUUAUAAUGUCGGAUCAACCUCAAAAUCGGGCAGAUAGUUUGACAACCGAAUGAAGGAAAUUAAAGGCUCUGAUAUUUGCUCUUUGCUUAUGCGUGGACUCAGUUUAAGUGUGAAAUUAGACUCGUAAUAAUUCCCAACAUUUGUAGUUUAAGGUGGCAUUUGUUUUUUAACUUAAUGACUUAAAGUGGCUUAACUUAAUUAAUUAAGUUAAUUAGAGGUGUUUGUUUUUAUAACUUAAUGAGACUUUUUAGAUAAUUUUGACUUAAUAAAAUAAACCAAUUUUUUCAGCUUUUUACUUAAUGGAGAAAUCUGAAUUAAGUCAAUUACUUACUAAUGUCAAAAAUAUCCAUGUUUUAAAUUUAUUUUUCAUGUCUAUCCCAAAACUCACCCAUAGCCAUUUAUCCCGUAUAAAAAUAUCAUUGUUUUUUCUUUCUUAUAUUAUAUACGAUAAAAUUUGAAAUUUAUGGUAUUUUAUAUAUUAGAAUUCCAAAAUAAUUAUGUAUUCACUUGUAUAUAGUUUUACUUAUAAAUGUUAAAAUAUUGUGAUAUUUAAUAUAUUAUUUAUUUGACAUUCAAAUUUAAUAAGGAUACAAAUGUAAAAAUACAUAUUUUCAGCUUUUUCAGUUGAACAAAACAAACAACUUAAUACUUAUAUUCUGAUAUUCAGACGAAAAAACAAACAUAUUAUUCAGAUUCAGACAUUCAGAUUUAUUCAGAAUUCAGACUAAUUCAGAUCUAUUCAGAUUUCAGACAAAAAACAAACGCCACCUAAGUGUGAAACUAGACUUGUAAUAUUUUCCCACAUUUGUAGUCAACUGCUCUGUCUGAGAUAAUGCUUCAGAUUUAAUCAAUCCAAGAAUAAAAAAAAUACUAGGAUUGAUUAAUUUGUACAAUAUUCAUGAUAAUUCUCAAUCUAAAAUUACCAAAUAAGUGUAUAUUACGCCAUCUCAAAUUUUAUUUUUUUUGCAUGGUCAUCAUUGAAUGAAAAAAAAAUGUAGAAUUAUCUAGCAAAAUUUUAUUGUAUAUUUCAAAUUUUCUCUCAUAAUAAAUUAGUUUAGGCUCUCACAAAACUUAAUUAGGGUCCACGCAGUCUAAUAAUUUUAGAGGUCAUGUAUGACUCAUUGACUUUUAUGGAAAGAUAUAUAUUGAAUAACUAUUUAUUAGAUUAACUUGCUCAUGAGAGGAUCUCUUUGAUGGGAUUAAAAGCUUGAUGCAGCAACUAAACAAUUAAUAAUCGAACAUAGUUUAUCCUUCUAAUUAAGAAUAGAAAUUUAAAUAAAAAAACAAAAAAAAUUUUCUUUUAAUUUGAAGUCUUAGACUGAGACGGGGGAGAGAUGUUUGUUAAUUAUAAGAAAGUUUUUACAUCUUUUUUUUUUUUUAAAUAUCUGAUGAAUGAGGAAUUGAGAUCCUCUUCUUCUUCUCCUUCUUCUUUUUUUCGCUUAUAACAAAAUCACUAAUGCAGUUUAUCAAUUUAACAACAGUUGCGUGGUACACAAAAAUAGCACAAACGCGGUAGUUAAAGCACACAAGAUUGAUGUUAUUAAGUAAUUAAUUCAGUUUCAUAAUACCACACAAUAAUAGCACAAACGCUCAUAUAAAUAAAAUUUGAAGUAACACAACUUGCACAUAUAUAAUUUGUGACACAACAUUUACUCGCCAAACCCAAAUGCUAACAUGGCCGCCCUUAUUUUGAAACUUUGAUCUUACAUAUCAAGAUCGACAGAAGCCAGCUGUUACUUUAAUGAGCUCGACGAUUUCUUCACUGAAAUUGCUGACGCCCAAGCUGCAAACUUAAGCUUCUCAGAGUAUGCGACUGUAGUAGUGGCCAAGACGAAGACAGUGGCAGCAACAAUGACAGCAACUUUCUCCAGCACUUUGGAUGCAAAGGUAAGCUUGUUGUGGACAAUAAGAUUUGAAACAAAGAGGGAAAGAAAGAUGAGUGAUGUAGCAAAUGAAAGCACAUAGAAUGAAGGAGAAAGUUCUGAUUGAACUUACGCAAACAAUUUAGCAAAUCCAAGCGCUGAUGUAAAGCAAAAUGCCACAUUCUGCCAUUCAGGGACUUUAGUGGCUUCGUCCAUUGUGGGUUAAUUAAGUGAAAAUGUGUUGUUCAUAACUGCAGUUUCCCCCCAUUUCAAAAAUGCUUGAUUAUUUAUAGACAGAUCUUGUGGGGUCGGAUUUUUCUAAGUUCUGAGUUUAGAAAAACUUUCGGCCCCGGUAGAUGUAUAUUUAUUUUAAAUUUUAAUUAACUUAUUAGUUAACGUAUGGAAUAAGACAAUGUUAUCCAUCAAUUUUGACUAUUUGGGACGAAACGUUUCAGAUUCUAGUUUCGCUUUGAUUUCUCGAGAUCUAUGUGACCCAUUAAAAGAAAAAUGAUGAAUUGAUGGUCCGAUGGAUUUUGUCUAAAGGAAAGAAUAUUUUAAGCUCUUAACCUUUAUGUUUUUGGAUUUGAUCACCAUGUUCGAAUUGAUGUCGUUUGUGCCCCUGGACUUAAAUUUACUACUUUUCAUGCAUAUGUAUGAAUAUUAUUAUCAAUAAAUUUAGGCUCCGUUUAAUAUAAUUUUCUAAAUAAAACUUAUUUAAAUAGAGUUUUUGUUAGUAGGUCUUUUACAAGUAAAGUUUUUAUCCAAAACGUUUUAUUAAAUUGAUUGUUAAUGAGGGUUUUUAUUAAAAAUUAUAAAAUUACUUUAAUAGAAGUUUUUUAAAAUUAUGUUACCAAAGAAAUAAAAUAAAAUGAUCAAAUAAGUAGCAGAUAUUUUGGGUAUUUAAUAUUUAAAAAAAUUCAAAUUCUACUUCGAAAAAUAUAAAAAUUGAGAUUUUACUAGUAUAAGUAAAAUAAUUUAUUUAACCUUCAAAAGCUCUACUAAAAAAUAAUAAAUAACAACAAAAAUUUUGAUGAGAGCUUAUAGGAUUAAAUAAGCACUUAUGACCAUUAAAUAAACCAUAUUAAACUGGCACAUAAUGUUCUUAGAGCACCCAAAACUUUUCUUAUCCAAUUCAAAUUCGUCUUGAUGAAAAAGUCUCACUCAGAAUAAGAAAAAUUUGAUCCAACUAAGCCGCGUCACUCUAAAUUUUCGGAUUUUUUUCUCAUGUCCGAAAGUAGAAAACUUUUGUGCCAGCUGUGUGUUUACGUGUCUUGUGUACUUUUUAAUUUAGCAUUAUGUAUAAUAAAUUGUCCAACGGAUGUUGAAAAUCCGAAGGACCUUUUGUUCCGUCUCCAUUGAGUUUGGUAAUGACUCUAAAACUUUGUUUCAUUGAAUUCGCAUUUUAUUCUGUUUAUAUGGCAUGGUAAAAAAGAGUAAUAGAUUAUGCUCCACUAAAUUUUAAAAAUCUUUUUAGAAAAAAAAUUAUAUGAAGCCAACAUCUCUAAAAUUUAUUUAAAUGGUAUGAUUCCUAUAACUUUAAGAAUCUGCACAAAAUAAUAUUCCUAAACAUUUUUAUUUUUGAUUAAUUCAGAUAGAGCUGAGACAUUUUGUUGCAUUUAAUUUAUGUUGAUCGGCAUUUAGUAAAAUGAGUUGGAUCUGCUUUGAAGUUUCUCGAACAUUUUAAAAUCAGUAUUAUACAAAUAAGAUUUACCAGAUAAAACUCAAGUGGUCAGUGUCAGAUUAUAAUCAAACAAAUUUUGUUGAAGCACUGCAAAAUAAUUAGAAAACGAAAAUAACUCUAAAAUGAAGUUUUUAACUCUUGUAAAUGUGUAUAACGUAACGAUUAAGCAUUUUUCUCACAACCUUUAAUUAGACCACGCAAUUUAAUUAAUUUAGUUGUGACUACGAUCUGUUUACGCAAAAUAUAAAAAGAGUGGCAACAUGCAUUAUUAUUGUGUUUGUACAGCAUUACUAUUAUGUAUAUACUAGCUUUUUCAAACUAUAUUAUUGCAAUAUACUUAUCAACCGAAAUAUAAUUAAAGGAUACCUUUAAAAUUUUGUUGGUAAUUCAGUGAUACCUUAUGAAACUUCUUGUAUCUUAACAUAAAAUAGCUAGACGACCAUUAUUACCCGAAACAAUUUUUAUGGGGAGUGAGUUUUUAAUGGAUUGCAGAUGAAUCAUUCACCACGGAUGGAUUUUCAAAGAGUCCAAUAAUUGCAUUGAUAUAGGUUGCUUUCCCGAAAUUUUCACGAAACUUUCAGGUGGUGUUUGGUUUUAAGAAAGAGGAGGAGAGGAAAAGAGUGGAAUGGAGGGGAAAUGAGAAGAAAUGAGUGGAAGAGAAUAAUAAAAUUAAAUUUCAUUGUUUGGUUUGACCUAAAGUUUGAUAAGGAAAAGAAUUACAAUUUUUUUCUUUGGACAAAUUCAUCCUUUAUCUUAAAUACUAAAUGAUCUAUAUUAGUAAUAAAAUAUAAUUUAGUAUUAAUACUAAUUUUUUUAUUUCAAAAAGUUCUAAAACAAUUCAUGAUUUAUAUUUAAUAUAAAAUAUAAAAUAAUUUAAUAUACUAAACUAUUUAAUAUAAUUUAAUAUAAAUAAAAGCCAGUCAAUAUAAGGCAACGAGCAUUAAAUAAGUUAAAAUAUUAGAGGACAAAUUUGGAUGCUUGGGUUUUCAACAUAAGAGGAAUUUGAAUUCUUCACUCUUUGGUGUGGAAUUCAAAUUCUACAUUAUAAGGAAUAUUAAAUUCUAAUGGAAAUUAAAUUCUUACAUAUUUUGUACAACCAAACAUUGAAAAUAAAACAAAAUUUAAAUUACUUUUCUCUCCCCUAUUCUCUCCUCCCAACCAAACAUCACCUUAAUAAAGAGAUGUCAGCUUUGAGGUGAAAUCUGCGUUUGUCAUCGUCUAACAUAUUUAUAUGUUUUAAAUUUCAUCAAUUGUCAGGAUGACAAGCCUUAAAAUUGUUCAAUUUUUGGAACUUUGCCAAGUAAUUACCAGAGAGACAAGUUUAUAUAAAAUUAUUCUUCGUAUCAAUUAUCUUUUUCCUUCACUUCCUGGACCCAUUCCGAUAAUGACAAGAUGAUAAUUUUUUUUUCUUUUUUAAAUCUCGGAUGGCCGACAAGGUUUAAAUAUAAUGACAGAAUUUGGAAAAUGAUAACCGAACACCGGAACGACAAAAUAAAGACAGAAACGGCAGUCACUCAUUCACUUAUUAUUUUUCUUCAUUGGGCCCAGAGUUACAUUAAAAAAGGGUAAAUAUUAUUAAAAAAAACAAAAUCUCUACCUUAUCUCUAAAUCAGAGAAGGAUAUCAAAGCAAACCUUAUCAUUUUUUUUUUCUUCUGUUAUUGAAUAGAUUCAGAUGUAACUUCUCUCUCUUUUUCCUUAUGGCCGCUUAUAUAUAUAUAUAUUAUUGAAAUCGAGCAAAUGCAGGGCUGAAAAUGUAGAUAUUAAUUAUGUGAUAAACAACUAAAAGAGAUGCAGAUAGAGUUCUGGCCUUCCACUUUAAUCUCUUAACUAGCGGGAGAAAAAAAAAAGCAGAACUCUAUUCACGCAUUUGCGCCAUGUUAAAUUCAUUAAAAAAAUGAAUUGUGGGCCCAUAACUAUAUUCACGCAUGCAAAGAGAGAGGACAGGAAGCGGCAGCACGUUUUCCUCUACCGACAAUUUGUUUGAGCAAGUUGGUGGACCAGAUGACCGAAUUUCCAUUCAUCUACUCUCUAACAGAUUUUUUUUUUAUUAAAAAAGCGCUCACGAAGAGCUAAUGCAACACUAACCGGGAGUGUGUCCAUAAGCAUCAUUACAAAGUAAGCCAAAAAUAAUAGGAGGAGGAGAAAGAAGAACAUGCAAGCCUAUGGGGAUAGUUAAGGUAUAGGAAGCAAGGAAAUCUGCAGCACAAUUUACCUCUCUAUACGCAUGCUCCAUUUGGACGAUCCAGUCACGCGCUAAUAAUUCCCGAAUAGCCUUGACAAGAAUUGCAUUUUCAUUUGCUGGAGGAUGAGCCCGCUCCAAAAUAUGCACUAUGCUCUUAUUAUCCACUCCAACUUGAAGACGUCUAAAGCCAUGAUCCCAAGCCAUUCUCAAGCCAUGCAACAGGCCCCAAAGCUCAGGCGAGAGGACUGAACACAUUUUAUAGCAACUGUAACUUAACAAAAUCCUUAUUUUAUAACAUUAUAACGAUGUAGAUGGUGAAGGAAUAAGAACAAAACAAUCAAAGACUCAAAUAACCAAUUAGAAAUGUCUCAUUCCUACUAUGUGAUUUUGGAUGCAUCAUCAUUAUUUUUUUAUUCUAAUUUGCUUUAGUUUUAAAAUGUAGAGUUUUUUUAAUAAUAUAGCCUUAUAUCAUGAUUAAUUUUUUAUUCUUGGUGACAUAAUGAUUUCUCAUGCAACUUUUCUGUGAAUGCGAUGGAUGCAUGAGCAUUGCAAUUCCUUUUAUGGUUUGAUUUCAAUAAGAAAGAAGCCUUAGUUCAAAGAGGAAUAUAAUAUAUGGAAAAUUAGGGUGGUGAGCUAAGCAAAGUAUAAGUUUCUAAAGUCGUUGUAAUGGCCUGUGAUGAAGGAAUUCAAUUUAUUUAUUGCAAAAGGGCAAUGGUUGCAUUUCUUAGAACGAAAGUAAAGAAUCUUAACAAAGUAGACUGACCAACCAAACACAUAAAUCAAUUGUUUAUUCAGCAAUCAUGUGGAUAAUUUUCGUGUAAUGCUGUUCAUUUCUUUCAUUUUCAUUUCUUUGAGCCCGUCUAUCUUUUUCAUUUAAUAAGUCUAUCCUAAUUAAAUAAUAAGUUUAGUACGACAAGUCAUCAAUUAUUAAAAAAAAAAGAUUUAUCAACAAAAGCAAAUGCAUGCUUUUGCCAAUACAAUUAACUACAAAUUCAGUCUUAACUAAUAUGUUUUGAUGUUGUUCGUAAGUUAGGUAGGUGAAUAGCUUUUGUUUAAGGAGAGAGAGAAGAAGAAGAAGAAAACAAUAUUGCAAUAAAAUAUAUUAAAAACAAAUUAAGUUGCAAUUGUUUCCAAUUUGUUGAUAAAUGUUUUAAUUUAAAACAACAACAAUAAUUAUGAAAACAGAUAGAAUCAUAAAAUAAAGAGCAAUGCUAAAGAGAGAGAAAGACGAGAGAAAAUGAGAGGAUUUUACUCUCUCUUUCUACCCAGCUCACUUUCUCUCUCUUCCUUUUCAGUACAUUUUCUCUCGUUUUUCUCUCGUUUUUCUCUUUCUUUAGCAUUUUUCAAUACACUUUCUCUUGUCAUGUAUCAUUUUUUUUUUCUCUUUGGGUGCAGUUGAUUGUACGUACAUAUCAUCUUCUGGUUCUUUGUGAUUAUAAUGUCGAUCAACCACAGAAUCUGGCAGAGAUUUGACAACCGAAUGAAGAAAAUUGUUCGAAAAUUGAAGGCUCUGAUAUUCGCUCUUUGCUCACGUAUGUACUCAGUUUAAGUGUGAUGCUAGACUUGUAAUAUUUUCCAACAUUUGUAGUCAAGUGCUCUGUCUGAGAUAAUGCUUCAGAUUUAAUCAGUCCAAGGAUAAAAAAUACUAGGAUUGAUUAAUUUGUAUAAUAUUCAUGAUAAUUCUCAAUCUAAAAAUACUAAAUAAGUGUAUAUUACGAUAUCUCAAUUUUUUUUUGCAUGGUUAUAAUUGAAUAAGAAAAAAAAUAUAGAAUUAUCUAACAAAAUUUUAUUGUAUGUUUCAAAUUUUCUCUCGUGGUAAAUUAGUUUAGGCCCUCACAAAACUUAAUUAUGGUCCACACAGUCUAAUAAUUUUACGAGUUUUGGUUGACUCAUUGACUUACAUGGAAAUAUAUAUUGAAUAACUAUUUAUUAGAUUAACUUGCUCAUGAGUGGAUCUCUUUGAUGGGAUUAAAAGCUUUAUGCAGCAACUAAACAAUUAAUAAUCGAACAUAGUUUUUUUUUUUUUUUUAAUAAGAAAAUGGAUCAGUCAUUCAAAUGGUUGAAUAAGUACAUAAAUUUUGAAUGGUAUGAGCCUUCCCAAACAACAGUUUCACACUUAUCGAAAGGUAGUUUAGCUAAAGAAUGAGUAAUGGCAUUACAAAAUCUUGGAGUAUGCUGGACUUUACUAGCAUUAAAAAUUUAAAAUCCCUCAUUUUAUUCUGAACUUCUGAAAUUAUCCAAUAAAUCUAUGUUUUGUUACUCUUCCUGUUGUUAACAAAAUCAAUAACAUCUUGCGAAUCUGAUUCAACAAUGAUGGUUGACAAUCCUGCUCGAUUGGCUAUACUAAGACCCAAGUUCACAACUUCUGCUUCUGCAAAGGUUACAUCACUGUGGAGUUUUGUAACCUUAAUUGCAACUGCUACAUACUUAUUGGUGGCAUCCCCUAUUACAACCCCCAGCCCUACACAAUGCUCCUUGAAAUUAAUGGCAGCAUCCAUAUUAACCUUGCACCAAUCUAUUGGAGGAGGGCUCCAACAUCCUUGGACCUUUUCUUUCGGCUCAAGUCUAAGGUUUGGGGUUGGUACACUAGUCCUUUUGAAGCUUCCAGAACUAAUUCUGCUUUUGCAACUGAAACAUAAGGAUCUACCCUCCUCCCUUUAAACAACAUUUGAUUUCAUGCACUCCAAGUUACCCAAAACAAAGCCACCACUGGCUCAGCUUUAGCCCUACCAAUUCUUCUUACCAUAUCUUGUAUUGCACUGAGGAUAUCUUGAUCUACUAUGCUUCUUAUCUCAGCUGCAACCUGGGAAAUUUUCCAGAUCUUCCUAUAAAGGGAAAUAAUAUCAAUUGUGAAUGAAAAUGAAGCUAUAUUUUAUUAUUGAUGUUAGUCGUAUAUAUAUAUACAGACUGUAGUUGGAAUACAAAGGGUAAUAACUAUCCUAGAUUUGAUUACAAUUUGAAUUAAAGAGAAUAAGUCAAGGAGAGAAAGAAGGAGUAAAUAAAGGAGCAUUUACAACAUAUAUUAUCUAUAAACGGUAAGCACAAGAUUAGGAGAGAAUUGGUCAAGAGAUUGAUUUUGAUGUAUCUCUAUCACUUCCGAGCUGACUUACAAUCUACCAGAGCAUGAAAAGUAUUCUCCAAAGAAUUUCCACAGAUUUGACAAAGGGGAUGUGUUAAAAUCUUCCUUUUCCAGAGGUUCUCAGCUGUCAAAAGAAGGAUUUUCACUGCCACCAUAUGAAUAUUUUGAUUUUCUUGGGCAAUAGCAUAGUCCAAAUGGUAGACCAUUGAUUUGUUUUCUGAUCUGAGCAGCUUGGGGAAUCCUCGACCUUAAUCUUCAAAGCCACUUGGUAUCCGCUCUUGACAGUAUAGUUCCCUUUUUUAUCAUAAUGCCACAGCACUUGAUCUGUCAUCGGUUUACUAGGGAGAGGGAUUCUAGUGAUCAUAUCUGCAUUGUCUUUCACAAAAUGUUAGUAAAUCAGUCCCACUUUCCACUGAAUAAUCGAACAUAGUUUAUCCUUCUGAUUAAGAAUAGAUAUUAAAAAAAAUCUAACAAAAAAAUUGAAACUUUUACUUCUAAGUUGAAGUCUUGGACUGAGAUAAGGGAGAGAUGUUUGUCAAUAUAAAGGGGUUGGGCUUAGGAUUUUCAAGUGUCCAACUUAAAAGACUAGCUUAUUGGGUGGAGUGACCUAUUCUAUUUAUAAACUUAAGUAUUUUUCGUUUACUAGUUAGUGUGAGACAUAACUCAAUAAUUUUCUUCUCAGAUGAAACUACUGUCGGACCCCGAUCAUUUUGUCCAACACAUCUCAGUUGUUCCACUACCACAAUCUAGCUACUUCUGGCUUUGAUACUAAUUAUUGGGGGGUUGGGUCUAAGAUUUCUAGGUAUUUAACCCAAAAGAUUAUAGUGAUAGAAGGGCUCUGUUACACAACCCCCAAGUCACUCCUAAGAUCCCCAAUCAGAUCAACAAGAUGCUAUAAGAAAAUCUGAUUAGGCUUUGAACAAGUUUGAUUACAAUCCAAGAAGAUUAUGAUUGAAAACUAAGAAUAAUCAGAAAUGAAAAAGAACUAACAAACAACUCUAAGAACAGAGAAAACAACAAGGUUACGUGGUUCAGCUAAUUCAUCAUUAGCUUACAUCCACGGAGGAACAAGUUGCAGGGAUUUUAUUGAUUGAUCUUCAAGAUUCAGAGAGAUUACAGAGCAUAUUGCAUAUAUAACAUUAUGUAAAGACGAAUAGGUACGCGAAGGGGAUACUAUUUUUUAUUUGGAUUGAAAUUUCAACCAUUGCUAUACUCAUUUAAUUUAUUAAUACAGGAAAUUGCAGGGAAAGAGCAAGUGGUCUCUCAACAAGCAAUUGCCGGCUUCGACCAUGUUGCCAUACAAUAUAUUUUAGUAUGCUCAUUAAUAUAUAUUCGGAGCUUCGAAGACUUUUGUAUAUGAAACAUAUAUUAAUAAAAAAAAAAUCAUUAGGUGAUAAUAUAUAUAGAAUUAAGCUCAUUCGUAAGAGAUAGAUAGCUUGAAUCAAUUCAUUGAUUGAAGAAGGUUGGAAGGAGAAAGAGAAAUAAUAGCCAGUUAUUUUUCUAGUAAGCAUCUUGCAUUAAUUUUGUUUCAUUUUAUAUACACGCGCGCGCGCAUUGAGAGCUCACAACACAGAACCUGUUCUCUGAUUGAGUUGGAGCUUGGAAGGAGAAAGAGAAAUAAUAAAGCAGGAUCUGCAACUCUUAUUCAAUUAUAUCAGCAACCAAGUAUUUUCAAGUAAGCGAAUUGCAUUAAUUUUGUAUCGUUUGGUCAUAUCUUUAAUUGUUUUAUUAUUAAUAUCAUUGUUCUUGAGUUAUAAGCACACACUUUGGUGUACCUAAUUGAAACAAAAAAGAGUGAACUUGAUGUGGUAACUGGCAUGUUAUCUGUUUGUAUUGCGGGCUGUGAAUUCAAGUUUUAAACUGAUAACUGCUACUGGCCAUUGAGGUGCGUUUGCUUUACUCUCUAUAGAUUAUUAAAAAAAAAAAAAUCUAAAAAUAAGUAAACAGAGAAUGUUUAAUUAAUUCUAAAAAUAGAAGUAAGUAAACAGAGAAUGCUUAAUUAAAUCUAAUUUCAGCUUAUAUUUUAUUUUCUUCUAUUCCUUUAUUUAUUUAUUUAUUGGCGUGCAAAGAAUUAAUAGCAUUAGCAUGGUGAAGAAAAAUUGAGAAUAAUUUUUUUUCUCUUUCAAAUCUAAAUCAGAUUUUCGCUCUGUUUUUCAUUCCCCGAACAAAUUAUAAAUUUUAGUUUGAGCAGUACAUUGUAAGAUUUUUGUUUACGGGCUUGUGAAUUUAUCGGUUGAAUCAGUGGUUAAAUUAGAUUUUUUUCACAGAACUUUGCUCAGAAAUGCAAUAACAAUAAUUCAUAUAUUCAAUUUCAUUUAGAACACGUCUUUGAAUAGAGGUGUUUCAAAAUUAUCCAAUUAGUUGUAUAUAUUUUUGACAAAUCAAAAAUUGAGAGUUUAAUUAAAAUCUUAAGUGCGGAUUGAUCUUUUGUUUUACCUCUGUAUUAGAUAAUUAAAUUGGUAAGCUUAAUUGAUUAAUUAAAGUUAAGUUUAAGGGGCUGAGCAUGCAAUGAAUCCUUAUCUUAUUUGAGAAUUGUUAAUUAUGUAGGGAGAUCCUAAUGGAGGAAGCUCAUCAUCAUCAGUUAUUAAUAAAAGAAGGAAGUCCUUCAGAGGUUUGGAAGGAGAUGAGAAAGUACAAAGACAGAGAUGGAAAUAACAAUGCUGAAUGUAUACAUUGUAAGAAGUCGUUUGACGGUUCAAGCCAGAAAGGAACAGCACAUCUCAAAAAUCAUUUAGACAGAUGCCCGGCUAACCCCAAGAGAAAAGGACCUGAUGGUCGUAAUGGGGAUGAUCAAGAUCAAUUACUGUCCCCACCAAUCAAAACAAAAGAGUUAGCCAGUCUUAUUAAAGAGAAAUCUGUUUAUGAUCUGAUCAAACACUUCUCCAAUAUUGAAGGAGAUAAGGAUUGGGAUCCAUCAUCGGUGUUGAACUCGAGAAAGGAUGAAAUACUCCAACUGUACCAAGAAGAGAAGGAAAAACUUUGCCAAUUUCUUAAUAGCCUCUCUUGUCGUUUCAGUUUACAACUAACUUGCUGCAAGUUACGUAUGUAUUAUGAAUAUUUCUUGGUAGUACACUAUAUUGAUGAUAGCUGGGAACGGCAGAGCAAGGUUAUUAGUUGUUGGAAAGAUCCUUUUGAGGUCGAGGAUUCGAUGAAAGCUGUGCAACAAUCGUGUUUGGAUUGGAAGAUCGAUAAGAAUAUAUGCUUCCUACUUCUUCCUUGUCCAAUUCGUCCAGCAGACGAUAGGGGUAACCAAAUUGGAAAGACGGAAAAUUGGUUUAGUCAACGACGUUCACCUCCUUUUGCCGGCUUCAUACAUGAUGGUUAUCAGUUAAUGGGUUAUAUUCGUGGUACUUUUGAAAAUUACGCAAGGGAUGGGAUACUACGGGCCAUACGGCAGUGCGUUGAUUACGUGUAUAACAAGUCAACAUCAGAUAAACCAAUUCAGUUGGAUAGUGCCGUAAAAAAAGCGAUUUCCAAGCUCGAACGUGCUUCUCUUUUCUGGCAUUUUGAUUACCUUCGGACUGUCGCAAAAAAAUGCUUGAAAAAAGUAUCUUUUCUGCUGGAGCAAUUAGACUCCGAUUUUAGGUCAAUUAAAUUUACUAAACAAAAAUGGGAUGAGAUAACUGCCACAUUCGAGCAUUUGAAACUCUUGAAGUAUGUAGGAAAGUUCUAUAAUGCCGUAAUGAAAAUUACGGAAUCAAAUACCGUGAUACAUAUAAAUAUUAUAAAUUACACAAAAAACUAGUAAAUAUAAAGUAAAACUAGUAAAUUCAUACAAAAUUAUUAAUUGUUUAAAAUAUUAACAUUGUUUCUGCAGAAUUUUAGUGAAAAAUAUUUUAUUUAUUUACAAAAAAUAUUUUUUUAAUUAAACAAAGAAAAAAUUACUCAUCAAUUAAACAAAAAAAUUGUACUAAAAAAAGUAGAAUAAGUUUUAUUGAAUUGCUUUCACCAUAGAUUCUAUAUUUAUUCUAGGACAUUUGUAUAAUUUUUUCAUAUGUUCUAUAAUAAUAUCUAUUUUAUUAUAAAAGUUAAUUAAGUGCAAAUAUUUAUCUUAUGUGGAUCAAGCAAAAACAAUUUUUUUUUAAAAUCUUAUAUUACUAAACACAUAUGUGAUAUAUCAAUAAAAUUAUAUCCAAAUUUGAGUCUUAUGCAUACUUUAUACAGUUUUAAACUUUCUAUUUGUAUUUGGAGACCAUUCAGGAUUUUUAUUGAAGAAGUUUAAAAAGAUGCAAAAUAACCUCAUCUUACAACAACUAUGAAAGUUAUUAAAAUAAUAUUUUUUUCAAAAUCUGAUUUUGAGAAUAAAUUUCAUCCUUAAUGAAGCAUCACAUGUAUUAUAUAAUUAAAUGCAAAACUAGCAUUAUUCAAUUUAAAUUAAAAUAUAAAUUUAUAAAUUUUAUAUUUUAUUUACAUAAUUUAUAUUUAAUUACGGAAUUAAUGCCGUAACUUUAAUCACGGCAUCAUAGAAUGACCCGUUACUACCAUCUUCUUGUGGGGGGAAUGUGAUAUUCCAAUAAUUGUAGAUCUUCCUUACAUGCAUAAGAUAUUAACGGAUCGAUGCAACCACCCAAUUGAAGAUUGUCCUUUCUGCAAAAAAGUGAUGAAGGAGGCUAUUGAUCCACUUUUUAGCAAAUAUUAUUUGGCUAGAGUCAUCGCAGCAAUUCUUGACCCACGGUUCAAAAUGGAUGCUGUGCAACUUCAUUACAAAGAGAUUUAUGGCAGUGAUGCUGAUAGAUACAUUGUGAAAAUUAAUAAAGAUUUUAGAGACGUUUAUGAUGCAUAUGCAUAGAUACCUUGUGAAAAUUAAUAAAGAUUUUAGAGACGUUUAUGAUGCAUAUGUAGCAACCGACUCCAGCGAUUCAAAGUCAUAUGAAAUGCUAGACGCCAUCGGGAGGCCAUGCACAUCUUCAUCAUCAAAAUCAGAACUUGAUCGCUAUUUCAAUUUGCUUAAAGUUCCCAGCGAUCAACAGUUUGACAUACUAGCUUGGUGGCGUGGCAAUGCUAUUUUAUCCGACCCUCGCAAGAAUGGCUUGUGAUUACUUAGCAUUAAAAAUACCUUUUACCUAUACCGCUGCCGAGGGUGCCUUGAAUGCCAUGGGGCGUUAUAACAUAAAAUCUUGUCUUCAUUUUGAUGAUAAAGAUUUACGCGAGAUAAUAUCGCCUUUGCUAUGCCUACAAGGAUUUUUGAGUAGCCCCUAAAAAUUAGCGUUAUUUGUGACUGCGUUUGCAUUUUCAUAACGUUAUUCCUGUUCUUUACAUCCUCUAGUUUGUAAAAUAUCGCAUUACAUGUUUGCUUUUCAUUUUUUUUUGGCUCAAUUUAACAGAUUUAUCCCUGAUAAUUUGGAUAAUUCAAAUAAACCGGAAAAAAAAAAACAUUUUGAAUAAUUUAAAUUAUGAAUGAUUAACAAAAAUAUUUGAACUAGAUAUGUCUCCUAUAUGGGCACAUAUGUUUAUUAAAUACAUGAAACUUAUAAUUUAAAUGGCUAACAAUAAGCUGACUUUGUCUCUUUCCUAUGAACAUUUUAGCUUCUGAAGUCAUCAAAUCAUCAAUUAUCAAUUGUAAUUAAUGUAUCUAAUAAUCAGAUUGUUCUUAACAGUGUUAUUUUUGCACAAUUGACAUAUUUAAUACUUUUUUUUGUUAGUCUUAUUUAGAAUUAAUAGAAUCUAAUGCAAUUAAGAAGUAGGGGCACCCUUAAACAUAGGCAAACUAGACCGUCACUUAAUGUCUUAUAUUAUUGAAAGGCUCCAUUUUUCUUAGUAUUCCUCUAAUAAUAUUUGAAUUAAUAAUUUUUUUUAAAAUUAUAGACAAUUCGAAAGACUAUUUUUAUGUAUCUCUAAUUAAUAAUUUUCCUACAAUAAAUAUAUUUUUAUACAAAUUCUACAUUUGAUAACCUUAAUGUUAAAAAGUUAUAAUUAAUAAUAUUAUAUAACCUUUAAUUUAUUCACUAUUAGUUUUUAGAAGAAAAUAAUAAGAUUCUUUAUCUCUCCAUUUAAAAAUAAAAUUUAAUCAAUUAUUUAACAUUAAAAAGUUUCUUGCACUCUUCUCCACAAUGUAAUUUGUUACAUAGAUUUCAAUACAUUAAAAAAUAUUUUUUUUUGUCCGUUAGUGUAUUGAAAUCUAUAUAUUUUUUUUUACUAGCAUCCUCAAGAUGCCCUUACUAGAGAAUUAUUAUUAUUAUUAUAAAAAAGAAAUCUUCUUCACUAUUUUUCCUUCUUCAAGAUUUCUUAGGAUCUUGUUGAUUAUGGUUGAAAUUCAAAAUAUAAGUUAAAUAUUAAUGAAUUUUAAACUUUUUUAUGUUUCUUUACGUGUUGAAGUUGUUAAAUGUAAAGAAUCCUUGUAAAAGAAUUUGUUUAUUUGUUAAUUAAUACAAUAUUGAUUCUUACCUCAGCUAAGGUUUCGGGAUCAAACAAUGAAACAUGAUGCCAGAGCCUCUCCAAAUUUUCAAACCAUCCUUUUCACAUAAGAUUUUUUUUUUUUUUGUUGAUGAAAGUUAGUAAUUUUUUUCCAUCUAGUAAUUUUUUUCCAUUUUUAAAUAAUAAUUGUUAAUACAAAUAAGAAAAAUAUUGGGACUUGAGAUCAAGGUCUACUUGAGUUAGAAUUUUUUAUUAGAAAAGUUAUUAACCAGCGAUGCAAAAUAAAGAAGCAACACAAGAUAAAAAGUAAAAUGAGAGAGCAUAUAUUAUAGAAAAGAUUUUACUCAUUCCAAGUGUGUACCAAAUAAAGAGAUGAAUUCUUUUUUUAUAGUUACAUAAUUAUUACAUAAAAUUAAUGAAAAUUUUAUGGAUUAUAAUUGCUUGUGAGAUAAUGGGGAUUAUAAAAAAGUCAAGAGUUGUUAGUGAAAGAUAAUGGAAGUAGUUUGUGUGUGUGUGUGAGUAUAUAUAUAUAUAUAUAUAUAUAUAAACAAACUUGAUUUUAUCUAGCUAGUAGAUUAUUAUUAAUUUUAUAAUUAUUGAAAUGAUUAAUUAAUAUUAACCAUUAUUAUACGUACUCUUUUUCUUAUUAUUUUCUCUGCUUGGAAUUUCACACAAAAAGGCAAAAGAGUGGAGAAGUUUUCUGUGAUUAAAUUGUUAUCCCAUCUCUAAUAUUAAUGCUUUAAUUAAAAAAUUAAUUAGUCGCUUUAUACAUUAUAUUUGAGCUAGCUAGGCUUAACGAUGAUUCGUGUUAAACAUUAAUAUAGUGGUGUGUAACUGAAGACAUUCUUAUUGCUGAAGCUCAAAGGCGCCAACUAGAUUUCAAGUGUAAACUCAACUGCUUUAUCGCGUCCUAAUUCAGGUGUUAGGUUCAAACAUUAAACAGAAUUUUUUUAAAGAUAAUUAUUCAGUAUAAUGAAAUCACAUUAUAAUGUUAUUAUUACAUUAAAUUAACAGUUUAGUAUAUACGUAUGAUUUUCUUUUAAUUAAUUUAUUUUUGGAAAAUUAUUAGUUAUCCACCUAAAUUUAUGUUGUUAUAAAAAAUAGUAUUAAAAUUUAAAUUUGUUUGAUUUUCCACCCUAAGUUUGCAAUUUGUAUCAACCCCAAAUUUGCAAUUUGAAUCAACCGUCAACCAAAAUUUUAACACCACUAGAAUAUUUAAUAGAAUGACCAUUGUACCCUUGAAUUCAAGGGCAAUUUUUGAUAAAAAAGAAAAUUUGAGGAACAAUGGAGUUUGAGCUCAAGGAGAGAAUGUACUGUAACUUUUAAAUUCGGCCUAAUUAAUUAAAUGGAUCUUACAAAUUUCUAAGUGGAAUUUCGGAUUAUUCGAAUAGAAUAGAUAUUCGAACCAAUGAUGCUCCUACGGUUGCUGGAAGAGAAAACUUUUGGUGGAAUGAAGAAUAUGAAGCUAAAAAAGGGUAAACUAAUGCGUGAAUUAUUAAAAAAAUUAUAAUAAAAAUUUAUUGAAACAUUUAUUUUAUUUUCAAUCUGAAUAGGAUAGCUUUGAAUUUAUGUAACAAUUAAUUUAAUAAUUGUAAGGAUAUUUAUGAAAUUAUAUUAGAAAAAUAAAAAUUGAUUAUGAAAAUCAAACAUUUAAAAAUACUCCUUCUGUGCUUUUUAAAACUGUGAUAGCGGUUGAUUUUGUAAUUUUUUUUACCAAAUACUAAAUUUAACUUUUAAAUUCCCAAAAUUACUUUUGAGCAUACAAAAGUAAUCUCAAACCGUCAUUUAUCUAUUUUUUCCUUUUACUUAGUAGUUCUCACAUUAACUUUUUCACUGUAAUGUUUCGGUUUCUUUUAAGUCUUCUCAUCCAUGAUUAAAGAGAACAGCAAGAAAGGAAAAAAAGAAAAAGAAAAGUAAAGACCUUAUUGGAACUUCGGAGACUCAUGUUUAUAUCUAUACAAUUAUAUUGAGAGCUAAUAAUGUCAUGCGUUUUAGUACCAGUUGUUAGCCUAUAUGGCUAUAAAUAUUGAUUUUGAUGAUAACAAACCACAUGUAUUUAUUAAGCAAAGAUUUAUGAAUUGUGCUUUUAUAAUAAGAAAAUGAUGUUAUGGAAUUAAAGCAUUUUGGACUAAAAUGAAAGUAUUUUUAAAAUCUUUGAUAGUGUUUUUAAAUUUCGGAUUUGGAUCUAUUUGAAACUAUUUAAAUGUUUUUGGGUCAUACUAUAAUUUCACAAAAUUUGGGCGAAGUCAUAAUUUCAAAAAGUUGUGGGAUUGACAAAGCAUUAUUCUAAAAUUCUGAAAUUAGACCUUUUUGCAAACUUUCAUAACAUUUUGGGCUAAGAUACAGUUUUAUAAAGUUUUGGGGUCAAAUUAUAAAUUUAGGAAAAUAAUCACUGUAGCAGUUACUGUAGCUAGCGAAAAUCCGGAUCCUAACAAACGGAAAUCCGGUUGUUGGGCAGUAAGCUACUGAGCGUAAGCGGAAUUCCGGAUGUGACAAAGCGGCAAUCCGGAUGUUCAGAAAUUCAAAAUUGUGGCUGUAACUGUAACAUUAAGCGGAAUUUCGGAUGUCCAUAACCGGUAAUCCGGUUACGACCAAAAUGUGCAUAACGGCUAGUUUUUAUUCAUUUGUAAGAGUUUGAGUGUGUGAGACACUUGAGUGAAGAGAUUGGGAGAUAAUCUCUUUGUUGUAAAGGUUUAUUGACACCUCGAAGUCAAUUGUAAUCCUUGAAGCCUUGGAAAGGCUUGGAUAGUGAAAUCCUCGAGCUUGGAUCGCUUGGAGGCGUGGACGUAGGCGGGGAUUGCCGAACCACGUAAAAAUUCGUAUGUUUGUUUCUCUUCUCCCUUACUCUUUAAUUAUUGUGCUAUUAUUGAACUUAUUGUUUUCAAUUAUUGUUAAGACAUUAGAUUGUUUGUUGUGUGGAUUUGUUAGGAUAAAUUUUAAAAUUCCAAUUCACCCCCCAUCUUGGGUUGCACACUUAUAUUUCACCAGUUUGGCAAGUCUUUUUUGUUAUUUUAGAUGAAUUUGUCUAAAUCAUUUUAGUAUUUCGCUUAAUGUGAUAUCUUGUCCGAUAUAGAUAUAUAGAGAUAUGGCUUUAUACAAACUCUCCAUAAAAUCCAAUAAAUAAAAAUAACUAUACAAAUCAUGUGACAUUUAUUCAAUUAAUACUUUUAUGCCAUAUUAGUUUAUGUAAAAGAUUGAUGGUUGUUGAUCCUUUAUUUUAAAAUUAAAGGGAAAAAAAAAACUUACCUAAAGUACUGAUUAUUUAUUGGGAGUGGAAACCCAAAAAAGAAAAAGAAAAAGAAAAGGUAAAGCAAAAAAAGUCACUAAACUAAAAAGUAGCCAACAUGAGGAAAUUGCGAGGAAAGAGCAACUGACCCAUUUUCAGUCAGCUUUUCUCAUUAGCUUUUGCGAUCAUAUUGCCAUUCAUUGUAGAUUUAUAAUAAGGUUAAUUAAUUUCUUCGGAGCUUGGAAGACUUCUAUAUAAACAAAUAUCUAUUAAUUGCUAUUAAGUUUUUUUUUUAUGUUAUUUAUAAUUUUUUCCAUUUUAGUUCAAUUUGUCUAAAUUAUUUGAGUAAUAUUUCGCUCAGUCUAAUCUCUAGUCGGAUAUAGAUAUAUAGAGAUGUGACUUUAGAUUAACUUUCAAUAAAAUCCAAUUAAUAUUGAUCAUGUUGUAUUUAUUUAAUUAAUACUUUUAUGCCACAUAUUAGUGUAUUAAAAAAAAUUAUGGUUGUUUAUCCUUUAUUUUUUAUUUUAAAAAAAUACCUUAUGUAAAGUACUGAUUACUUAGAAUCUAAGAAAAUAAAAAGAAAAAAAAAAGGAAACAAGGAAAAGAUAAGCAAAAAAAUCACUAAAGUAAAAGUAGCACUACAGAGGAAAUUGUAGGGAUAGAACAAGAUACACAAUUUAGUCAGCUUUUUUCAUUAGCUUUUUGAACCAUACUGGCAUUCAUCAUAGACGUAGGCUUACUUUGAUAUUGCUUUUUAAAAAGAGAUUCAAUAAAUAGAGUUUUUGAUAAUAGAACUUGUAUAAGUAGAGUUUACAUUAAAAAAAAAUUAUGUGUUUGGUUGGCAAUAAGAAUUUUUAUUAAAAAUUAUAAAUUACUUUAACAAACAAGUUUUUUAAAGUUAUGUUAUAAAAAGAAUGAAAUAAAAUUGUCAAAUAAAUAAAUGAUAUUUUAUAUGUUUUAAUAAUUAAGAAAAAAAACUUUUCAACCUCUACUUUUAUUUGAGCUUUUGCUAAUAAAGGUAAAAUAAUUUAUCUAAUUUUUAAAAGCUCUUCUGUAAAAAACAACCAAAUAAUGACAAAAUUUUUAGUAAGAGUUUAUAAGAUUAAACAAGCAGCGAUGAGCAUUAGAUAAAUAUACUAAAUAGGUAAUUAUAAUAGAGCUUUAUUUAUACACACGCACACAUUGAGAGCUCAUAAGAUAGAACCGGUUCUGAUUGAAGAGAUAGAGGGUGGAGCUUGGAAGGAGAAAGAGAACUAAUAAAGCAGGAUCUGCAACUCUUAUUCAAUUUUAUCAGCAACCAAGUAUUUUCAAGAAAGCAUUUUGUAUUAAUUUUGUAUCAUUUUGUCAUAUCUUUAAUCGUUUUAUUAUUAUUAUUAUCAUUGUUAUUGAGUUAUAAACACGCGCUUUGGUUUACUUAAUUGAAACGAAAAACAGUGAAUUUGAUGUGUUAACAGGUAUGUUAUCUGUUUGUUUUGCAGGCUGUGAAUUCAAGUUUUAAACUGAUAACUGCUAGUCUACCGGCCAUGAAGGUGCGUUUGUCUUACUCUCUACAGAUUAAUUAAAAAUAAUAAUUCUAAAUAUAAAAAGCAAGUAACAAGAGAAUGUUUAAUUAAUUCUAAAAAUAAGUAAACAGAGAAUUUUUAAUUAAAUCUAAUUUCAGCUUAGAUUUUUAUUUCCUUUUAUUCCUUUAUUUAUUUGUUUAUUUGUUGGUGUGCAAACAUUAAUAGCAUUAGCAUGGUGAGAAAAAUUGAGAAUGAAGUCUAAAUCAGGUUUUUGCUCUGUUUUUCAUUCGCCGAACAAAUCAUAAAUUUGAGUGUCGAGCGGUGGAUUGUAAGAUUUUUGUUUACGGGGGCAGACUUUUCUUGCGAAUUUAUCGGUUCGAUGAGUUGUUUAAUUUAGAUUCUUCACAAAACUUUGCUCAGACAUAUAAUAAUAAUAAGAAGAAGAAGUCAUAUAUUCAAUUUCAUUUAGAACACUUCUUUAAUUGCAUGCAACUGUUUCAAAAUUAUCCAAUCAGUUGCAUGUAUUUUUGAGAAAUCACAAAUGAGGAGUUUAAUUAAAACCUUAAGUACGGAUUGAUCUAUUGUUGAUUGAUCUUUUGUUUUACCUCUGUAUUAGAUAAUUAAAUUUGGUAAGCUUAACUGAUUAAUUAAAGUUAAGUUUAAGAGGCGGAGGAUGCAAUCAAUCCUUUAUCUUAUUUGAGAAUUGUUAAUUAUGUAGGGAGACCCAAACGCAGGAAGCUCAUCACCAUCGGCUAUUAAGAAAAUGAAAAAGCCUUCAGAUGUUUUGGAGGAGAUGAGAGAGUACAGAGACGCAGAUGGAAAUGUCAAGGCUGAAUGUAACCAUUGUAAGAAGACGUUUGACGGUUCAAGCAAGAAAGGAACCACACAUCUCAAAAAUCAUUUAGAGAGCUGCCAAGCUAACCCUAAGAGUAAAGGACGAACAGAAGAAUUAAAAAUGCUAGCCAGUCUUAUUAAGAAAAAAUCUGUUGGUGGUCUGAUCGAACACUUCUCCAAUACAGAACGAGAUACAACUGAUGAGGAUUUCGAUCACUCUUCCGAUAGGGAAGGAGAUACCAGUGACGAGAAACGGGAGAAUUCGGAUGGUUUGGAUCCAUCGGUGUUAAAAUCGAGGAAGGAUGAAAUACUCCAACUCUACCAAGAAGAGAAGGAAAAGCUUCACCAAUUUCUUAAAAACCUCUCUUGUCGUUUCAGUUUACAACUCGUUGCUCUCGUAGGACUCUUCGAAGUGCCAUGUUCCUUGGUAGUACACUAUAUUGAUGAUAGUUGGCAACGGCAGAGCAAGAUCAUUAGCUUUUGGGUAGAUGAUGCAGACAUUGCGAUGGAAUAUGUGAAAGAAUCGUGUUUGAGUAUCCAUGGGAAAAUAUGCUCUGUACUUGUUCCUUUUCAAAUUCCUCCAGCAUAUGAUGGGGAAAGUUGGUUUAGUCGACAAGGUUCUCUUCCUUUUGCCGGCUGCCUGCGUAAUGCCGAUGGUUUAAUGGAUUAUAUUGAUGGUGUAUUGCGAUCCGAAGAUUACUUCAGGGAUGGGAUACAGUCCUUAAAGGAGUGUGCUCAUUAUGUGGCUAGCAAGUCAAGAUCAGAUGAACGAAUUCAGUUGGAUGGUGACGUACAAAGAGCCAUUUGCUGGCUCAAUCGUGUUCCUGAUCCCUGGGGACAUUUAAAGUACUUUGCGACUGCAGUUCGCGUUAAAGAAGCAUUUUUUGAGCUGGGGCAAUUAGAUUCCGAUUUUAGGACAAUUAAUUUAACUGAAAAAAAAUGGGAUGAGGUAACUGCCACACUCGAGCAUUUGAAAUUCUUGGAGGAUGUUGCUGUCGGCUUUUCGUCGGGGAAAUGUGAGACUCCAAUAAUUGUAGAUCUUCCGUACGUGCAUAAGAUAUUAAAGGAUCGAUGCAACCACCCAGUCGAUGAUUGUCUUUUUUGCAAAAAAGUGAUGAAGGGAGCUAUUGAUCUGUUUUUUAGCAAAUAUUAUUUGAUUAGAGUUAUUGCAGUAAUUCUUGACCCACGGUUCAAAAUGGAUGGCGUGCAACUUCAUUGCAAGGAGAUUCACGGCAGUGAUGCUGAUAGAUGCCUUGAGAAAGUGAAUAAAGAUUUUAGAGACGUUUAUGACGCAUAUGCGGCGACCGACACCAGCAAUUCAAAGUCAUAUGAAAUGCUAGACGCCAUGGGGAGGCCUUCAUCACCAAAAUCAGAACUUGAUCUGUAUAUGAAAGAGCUUAAAGUACCAGCAGUAGAAGAGUUUGACAUACUAGCUUGGUGGCGUGGCAAUGCUCCAUUUUAUCCGACCCUCGCAAGAAUGGCUCGUGAUUACUUAGCAUUAAAAAUACCUUUUGAUCAUAGAGCUGCCGAGGGUGCCGGGGCUCUCGUCCAUGGAGGCCUACUUUGUCAUUAUUUUUAUGGCGAAGAUAUACCCGAGCUAAUAAGGCCUUUGGUAUGCUUAAAAGGAUUUCUGGGUACCGCUGAAAAUUAGCGUUAUUUGUGUCUACGUUGCAAAAUUAGCGUUAUCUAUGACUCUGUUGCACUUGUGCAACAUUAUCCCUAUUUAUAUUAUAUAUAGGGUAAAUGUUCUUUACAUGUGAUAUUAUAUAUUCCUAUUUAUAUUACAUCUUCGCUUUUCAAUUUUUUUGGCUCAAUUUGACAGAUUUAUCUAUGAUAAAUUUGGAUAAUUCAAAUAAAGGAAACAAAUCAUUUUGAAUUAUUUAAAUCAUGAAUGAUUAACAAAAAAAUCAUUUUGAAGCCUGAGAUGUAUCUUAUAUAGGUGAGGGUCCGGCUAUGGUGACCUUGUGACGCCAUACUCCCAGUUUUUGUCUUUUACGAGAUGAGUUCUGGCAAAUUGCAGUUAGCUCCUUACUCUCCCUUUACUAACAUUUUCAUUUCAAUAUAAUGAAAAAUUGCAAUUAGUUUGUUACCCUAAUCCCUAAGAUUACUCUUACAUUUUCAUCUAAAAUUUUAUAUUCCUAAACUAUCUUCAUAUAACAAAAACUUUUAUGGGCCUUUGAUUUUUAGUUGUCACCCAUUAAAGAUAUCUCAUCAUGUACAAAAUAUAAUUCUUUAAAAUAAUAAAAUCUCAAAAAGUCUAUCUUAUAAUGGGUGUUUGGAAAGUGAGAAAAUUACAAAAAGUGGGGGGAAAUGAGAGAGAGGGAGAAAAGAAAAGAGUAACAAUUGAAAAUUAAGAUAAUGAUAGUGAGUAUUGUCUCAUAGCAUAUGCAAAUGCAACUGCACCUAUAAAUUAUAACUUUAAAAUUUUCAUGCCUAGAAGCGGCUAAAAGUUAAAAUCAUUUUCUUUUUCUAUCAUUUUAAGUGUAACUUUUCUAAUUAGUUUUUCUGCAUCAUUUUCACCUUUCUGUAUGCAUAUUUUCUUUUUAUGUUUAGAAUAGGUUGGGGGCAGACUGUUGUUUGAAAAAAUAAAUUGUGAUUUGUUUUAACAUUAGAUGACAUGAUGACUUUUAAAUUUUAGUAUUUGUAUUAUCUUUGGUCUUAAAUGAUAUUACGCCAUAUUUGUUAUUCUACAUGUUGAUGUCGGAGACAAAUAUAACUUGCUUGAAGGAAUGUAUAUGUCAUAAUGAAUAACAAAUGAGUUUUUGAGCCUGUCAUUUUUCUUGGAGAGUAACCCUUUUGCCCAUUCUUCAUACAACUUAUCAGUUUAUUAUUUUAUAUACGAUCUCUAGAUUUCUUUUUAGUCAACCCUUUAAAAAAAUUUGUAAGAUAAAAAAAAUGUGUGUUGCUACAUCUUGUGUUGAUAAAUAGUAAUAAUCUUGUUUAGAUACCGCCCUGGUUUCACCAACUCCCUAGUAUAAGGUUAUUAUUAUUUGGCACGAUCCCUUAGCACCAUAUUGAUUAGAGUGUGGUUCAUAAGGAGUGGAAAUCCCUUAGCAUCAAUAUUGCUUUGAUACCAUACAAUCAAUAUCUACGUGAUGUCUUACAAUCAAAAUUUCUUUAUACCAUUGUAACACAAACUUAAUGACACUAAUAACUACUAUCAAUGUAACACUGGCACGAGCUAUGCUGACACUAUAACUCGGUGUCAGCAAAACAUGUUUCUAAUACCAUAAUAGUAUCAGUGAAGGUCAUUUUUCUACUAGUGCCAUGACAGAUAUCAAAGAGAUCAACCCCUUCAUAUCCAUGCACAAGAUUCUACUGCGGGAUCCUAUAGCAAUUCAUUAGAGUAACAAAAAAGAUUAACUCCCAUUAGGAAGAGAGUUAUAAAGAAAUAGAUCAUCAAAUGGCUUGAUGUUGGAAUCAUCUACCCAAUAUCAGACAGCUUAUAAGUGAGCCCAGUAUAAUGUAUUAUAAAGAAAAGUGGAGCGACAGUUGUAGCAAAUGAAAAGAAUGAGUUCAUUCCCAAAAGAAUCAUAAAUUGAUGAAGAGUCUACAUGGACUAUAAAAAGAUCAAGAAGGCCACAAUGACGGAUCACUUUCCAUUACCUUUCAUACAUCAGAUGCUGGACAAACUUGCUGGAAAAGAAUAUUACUAUUUCUUGGAUGGAUACUCAAGUUAUAUCCAGAUUGCUAUAACACUAGAAGACCAAGGGAAUACAACAUUCACUUGUUCUUAUGAAACUUUUGCCUUUAAAAAGAUGCUACUUGGCCUGUACAAUUCUCCAGUAACUUUCCAGAAGUGCAUGAUGUCUAUCUAUUCAAAUAUGGUUGAGCAAAUGUUUGAGGUAUUUAUGGAUGAUUUUUUAAUUUUUUGGGAAUCAUAUGAUGACUGUUUAUAUAAUCUAGAAAAUAUGCUAAGAAUAUAUGAAGAGAUAAACUUUAUUGAAUUAGGAAAAAUGUCACUUCAUGGUACAAAAAAGGAUAGUCCUAGGCCAUAGGCUCUAUAGAAAAAUGAUAGAGAUGGAUAGGAAAAAAAUAGAGGUGAUUAAUAAACUUCCACCACCCACUUCAGUUAAGAGCAAAAAAUGUUUCCUAGGGCAUGUUGAAUUCUACAAAAGUUUUAUUAAGGAUUUCUCUAAAAUAUCAAACCUCUAUGCAUGUUGUUGUAGUAUAAAAGAUCCUUUAAUUUUAAUGAGGACUGUUUGGAGGCUUUCGUUGACUUAAAGAGAGCUCUUGUUACAACACCAGUUGUUGUGGCACCUGAUUAGAGUAUGUCUUUUGAGUUGAUGUGUGAUGUUAGUGAUCAUUUUGUUAGAACAAUGCUAGGAUAGAGGAAAGACAAGAUGUUCUAUUCCAUUUAUUAUGCUAGUAAGACCAUAGCUAAUGCACAACUCAAUUAUAUUACCAUUAAAAAGGCGUUGCUGAUAGUUUUCUUUGCAUUUGAUAAAUUUAGAGCCAUAAAAUAUUUGACUUCGAAGAAGGAUGCCAAACCAAGGCUGAAAAUUAAAUAGCAAAUCAUCUUUUUAAGGCUUGAGUAGAUGCAAGUACUCUAACUAAGCAGGACAUCACAAAAACAUUUCCUGAUGAGUAGUUGUUAAUGCUACAACAUGCACAUAUGCUACAGCAAUCUGAUUUCCAUGGCAUACAAAUUCUGCUAAUUACAUAAUUAGUGGAUUGCUACCACCUGACUUGAGUUACCAGCAAAAAAAGAGGUUUUUCCAUUAUGUUAGAAGCUAUUAGUGGAAUGAGCCCUACUUGUACAAGAUGUGCUCAGACCAUGUGAUUAGAAAUGGGUUCUUGAUGAAGAGAUUUAAUGCAUUCUACAAUCUUGUCAUGCUGUAAUAUCUGGUGGACACUUUGAAAGUCACGGAACAGUAGCAAAAGUCCUUCAAUCAGGUUAUUACUGACCCUCCAUCUUUAAAGAUGCUUAUGAGUUUGUUAAGUGUUGUGGCAUGUGUCAAAGAACAGGAAACAUUUCUCAAAAACAUGAAAUGCCGCUGACCAACAAUUUAAAAGUUGAGCUUUUUUAUGUAUAGGGAAUAGACUUUAUGGGAUUAUUCCAACCAUCUUUUAGAAACUUAUACAUCUUAGUUGUUGUGGACUAUGUGUCCAAGGCAGUUGUAAAGUUCCUUCAGAUGAAUAUUUUCAUAAGAUUUUACACUCCUAAAGCCAUCAUCAAUAAUGAAGGAACUCAUUUUUGCAAUAAGAUGUUUGCUGCAGCAUUGGCUAAGUAUAAGAUCAAGCAUAAAAUUGCUACAACAUAUCAUCCAUAAUGAGUGAUCAGGCAAAAUUGUCUAAUAGGGAGAUCAAAAGGGUUCUGGAAAAAGUGGUGAACCCUAAUAGAAGGGAUUGGUCUACUAGACUAAAUGAUUCCUUAUGGACUUAUAGAAUUGCUUACGAGACACCACUUAACAUGUCUCCAUACAGAUUUGUUGAUCACAAAGCUUGCCAUAUGUCAUUAGAAUGGGAGCGUAAAACAUAUUGGCCAGUUUAACAACUGAACAUGGAUAUGAAUGUUGCAACAGGGCAGAGAAGGAUAUAGCUUUAUGAGCUAGAUGAAUUGAGAUUAUUCUCCUAUGAAAAUGUAAGAAUUUACAAGGAGAGAACUAAACAAUAACAUGACAAGCAAAUCCAUUAAAGGAAACUCAUUCCAGGCCAACAAAUCUUGCUUUAUAACUUUAGAUUGAAUCUUUUCUCUGGAAAGUUAAAGCCUAAAUGGUCAUGACCCUUCAACUAAUCAAGGUUUAUCCUUAUGGAGCCGUUGAUCUUAAAGAUGAAAGAAUUAGCUAAAAAUUCAAAGCAAAUAGGCAGAGAGUGAAGAACUAUAUGGGAGCUAAGGUGAACAGCCUAAAAGAGGAUAUAUUCUUAAAGGAUUCAAUUUAAGCAAACAAAGAAAGUUAGGGUAAAAGAUCUAAAACUAAGCGCUGAUUAAGAGGCCACCCAAUGAGAGAAGUUUAUUUUGAAAUUUUAAGCACUUUAAUUUAAUUUUUAUUGUUGAUCAGUUUGUUCCUCUAUUUUUUUUAAAUUUAUGCAACUAACUUCCAUGUUUUUCUAUUGUUUUCUUGUCAUUAAACUGUAAUUAAUCAAAAAUUGGGGGUUGGAAAAAUUGAAUGCAAGACUUGAAUGGGGAGGAAAACUGGAAUAUGUCAAUUGGGAGAAAAUGAUAUAAGAACUCAUUUGAUGGUACAACGAAUACAUUAUCCUGCUGACUUGGCAACUAAUGUCUAGCUGACAGUCACUAACGAUGAAUAAUUUUUUUUUUUUUACCGUUGGUGACACCGUUGGUGACCCUUAUGCCUAUGUCAUGACAGUCACUAACGAUGAAUAAUUUUUUUUUUUUUACCGUUGGUGACCCUUAUGCCUAUGUCAGCGAAACGAUCUUUUUUAAAUUUAAGAGGAAUGAAAUCCCUAAUUUCUGUGAACCAUAUUUCUCUUAUUCUCCAUCUCCUUUUGAAAGUUCAAAAUUUUCUAAAUCAUCAAAUUAAUUUUGACUAUCUCUCUUUGUGUUUCCAUUCCUCUAUAAAUUUAAGCUUUUCAUUGUUUCACUGUCACUACCAAUUCCUCUUCUCUACUGUAAUCUUCAAAAUUGCUCUCUCUCUCUCUCUCUCUCUCUCUCUCUCUCUCUCUCUCUCUCUCUCUCUCUCUCUCUCUCUCUCUCUCUCUCUCUCUCUCUCUCUCUCUCUCUCUCUCUCUCUCUCUCUCUCUCUCUCUCUCUCUCUCUCUCUCUCUCUCUCUCUCUCUCUCUCUCUCUCUCUCUCUCUCUCUCUCUCUCUCUCUCUCUCUCUCUCUCUCUCUCUCUCUCUCUCUCUCUCUCUCUCUCUCUCUCUCUCUCUCUCUCUCUCUCUCUCUCUCUCUCUCUCUCUCUCUCUCUCUCUCUCUCUCUCUCUCUCUCUCUCUCUCUCUCUCUCUCUCUCUCUCUCUCUCUCUCUCUCUCUCUCUCUCUCUCUCUCUCUCUCUCUCUCUCUCUCUCUCUCUCUCUCUCUCUCUCUCUCUCUCUCUCUCUCUCUCUCUCUCUCUCUCUCUCUCUUAUAAACUCCCAAUCUCUUGUUCUAACAGAACUCCCUUAAGUGUUGCAGCAAUGCCGAGAGUUAAAGUACCUACUAAGGACGCAAAAAGAUUCAACAGUUACAAAGUUGAAGAGAAGUACGAAGAGUUCAUUAAACCUCUCGCAAAAUUUGCCCCCUGCUAUUAAUAACGGUCUAAAUUGUUCCUACAGUGAAUUCAUUUGAAAUAUAAGAGCCUUUUGUAUUUCUUCGAUUGGGCUAAAGCUACAAUGUCGGGCAUUGAGGCCCGGCAUCGUGCCGGCUUGUAAACGCAGCCGUUGGAUUCAAGAAAAAUGAAUCCAACGGCUGAGAUUGAAAAGAAAUAAAAAAGAGAAAAAAAUUGUUAACUUGUUAAACCGGUUCCCAAAGCUUGCAAAAUAAAAUUUUGCUUUUUGAGGGUUUCACCCAGGCCAUUCCCAAUCUGUCACACCUCUCUUUGAAAUCACAAAUUUCUCUCAAAUUUCUCUCUUCUAUUUGUUUAGUAAUCACGCAAGAUUGAAGGCACCAUCUCGUUCAAAGCAAAUAACAAGUGGAAUCCAUGAAGCGGUGGCUGUCAUCCUGAGGUGUUGAAGAUGAACACAAGUUCCUCUCUUUCCUUUUCAUUUUGUGAGUUAACGGCAAGGUGAGGAGGUAAUUUUGACCUUUGUGGUUUUUGUGAUGUACUGUAAAUUUUAUGUGAAAUAAUUAGAGAUUUGAAACAAUUAGAAGUUUGGUAAUUUUGAGUGAAAAAAGAUAUUUAGAUGAUGAAAAAUUGAUGUUGAAGAGAUGAUUAAUGGCUUGGAAGCAUGAAAUUGGCAAGAAAAUCCUCAAUCCUGAUAUGAUUGAUGUACUGUAAUUCAAGCAUGAAAUUGAAGAAAGAUAUUUAGAAGGGGAUACAAUGUUCCCAUGAUUUUGCGUAGUUUCAAUGGCAUUAAUUGGUAAAAUUUCAAUGGCAUUUUUUAAUAUAUUUCUAUUUUGUGGUUGAUUUUUUGAGGUUUGGUUUUUAAGUGUUAUUUUUCUAUGGGUACCCUAAAUUUUUCUUGUUUGGUUUUAAGUGUUUUUUGCUUGUUUUGAGCUCUACACUCUUUGGUAGGAAUACUAAAGAUGAGCGCUCAAAAAUUUGCCAAGAACUUACCCAUUGUUUUGGGUCCGGCCUUGAUACUACAUUUAUGUGUGGUCUAUUUCAGGAUUUAAAAUAUAGCAUACAAUUAUAAAAUGGAGUCCACAGAAGGCAGAAGGGGAGGACCUGGUCAGAGAGCGUGGAUACACUUUUUGUAAGUAUAAAAUUAUUGCUUUGAAUAAAGUUCUUAUUAUAAUUAUCUAUUUUGUUGAUGUAAUCAGUUGAACUAAAAUGUUGUGUACAGUAAGCAUAAAGCAGAAAAGGUGAGGCAAGAAGGGAUCAAAAAAGUUUGUAGGGCGACAAUUGUUGAAAAAUGGAAGAAAUUAACGAAUGAGGAGAAGUGCCGAUUUGGUACGAUGCAUGAGGACCCAAGUUCAAAUGUUGGUGAAAGGAGUAUUGAAAAAACAGAUGAAGAACAAAAAAUUGGGGAUAAGCAUAGCCAAUGUAAUUUAUCUCGUUGUCGUGUCAGUGCAUUCACUAAGGUCAUUUCCACAUUGUCGGCUGACCAACAAGCUGCAAUUAGAGAAAUUGGCUUCGGAAGCAUGCUAGAAUUACGAUGUGGUCGCCUGAGACAAGACUUCUGUGAAACACUUGUCCAACAAUGUGAUACAAAGAGGCACUGUAUAGUUUUGCAAGGGAGAGAGUUUUGUUUAAACCCUACAACCUUCAGCAUCGUAAUGGGGAUAAAAAAUGGAGGGGAACCAGUAAACAUCCGAGAAGAAGCGGGUGAUAUAAUUGAACUGCGUGCCAAGUAUAGAACGGGUGGAAGAGGAAUUGAAAUAGCCGCAGUUAGUGAAAGAUUGAUAGCUAGUGAGAGUAGUGAUGAUGACUUUAAGAUCAUGUUUUGUUUGUUUCUUCUAGGAACUGUAUUGUGUCCCACAAGUGCCAGCUACAUCAAUCCAACAUGUUUGGUGGAUUUUUUUCACAAAACAAAUUACAAAACACAAAAUCCGGAUUCAUUAUUAUAACUAUACAACUGAAAAUAAGUUAAACAUGUUCUCCAAAUUUUACAAACUAAACCUAAAAAUGAAUUAAAAACAACAAAGAAAUCGUGACCCUGCAGCCCUCACUUUUCUCUUCACUGCAGCCCUCACUCUCAAUCCAGUUCACUGCAGCUCCCUCUUUCCCCUCAAUUUUCUCAAUCCAGUUGCAGCAAAUCUCUCUCUUGGUCGCUCUUGGUGUGCUAGCCACUGCCGCUGCUCUUUCUCCGUUGUAACCGCUGCUGCUACUUCGUCUUUGCUCUCUCGGAUCUUCGUCUACUGCUACUUCGUUGUCACUUGCCGGUAUUUAUUUUGUUUAUAAGCUGAAAUUUUUUAGAGAUGAUUUGAGUGAUUUUUAAUUCUGGAAAUUUCUGAGGUUGUUCAUAUGUAGUGACAAAUUGUUUAUUUAUGAGCUGAAAUUUUUCCUCAUUUAUUUUAGAGAUUGUGAAAUCUCAAUUUGUGUUCAAAAAAUAAUAAUUCUAUUUCCAAGUUUGAUAAUGCAACCUAAAUUAAAAAAAAAAUCCUUCACAGAUUUGUGCGAAAAGGAAGAAAAAGAAAUGCACGAGAAAAUAAUCAAAUUGUAACUGGCAAUUUGAUUGCAGAGUAGAAUUGAAUUCAUUUUUGCAUAAACUCCCAAAAUCUCUUUUCAUAAUGCCAAAUCAUAAUCAAGAAGCUUCCUCUCAUACGAAAUUUUUAUAAUGAAUAAAUUUAUAUUGAUAUAUUAAUUCCAAAAGUAAUAAUUUUGUAUAAAUCACUUGAUGAAUUUGUGGGUCUUAAAUUGUCCUGGAAAAUAUACCCUUUAUGCUAGAGAUCUUUGAUAUUUCCACUAUUUUUUAUGAAGAAAAUAGACAUAAGAGUAUGAGAGGAAUCUUUAUUGGAUUAAAAUGGGUGUUUGAAGUAAAACAAAAAAUUUCAUUGAUGAGUGUUGUGAGAAAUUGAGUUUGUUGAGUAUUUUAAUGAAUUCAAAUAAACUUCACCUCGUACUCAAUAAUUCCACAUAUCUCAAAUGAUAUAACUAGAGUAUUGUAGAUUAAUCAUAUUGGGGGUUAUUACAUUACUGAAAAUUGAGUGGGGGAUUAAUAGCAUGUACUGAAAAUUGUAUGUUUAUAUCUAAAAAUUUAAUAGCAGUGUUUUUAAUUUGAUUAAUAUUUGAUAUAUGUUUUAUUUUUUAUUUUUUCGGGUACCAUUCAGUUUUUAAUGUAUGACAUGUUGCUGAAAUAUGUAUAUGUUAUGUUGAAUUUGAUCAUUAUUUGAUAUGUGUUAUUUUUUCUAAUUUUUCAAGAUAUGGAUGCACAUGAUGUUGAUGUUGAUGUUGAGGAUAAGGCUGAUUGGUCUACCCGGACCGAAACCGUUUUUAUUCGUAUUGUACAUGACCAUGUUAAAAAGGGUGAUUUACAAACAUCAACUUUCACUAAGAAAAUUUGGAACACUAUAAGUGAUUUACAAUCAUUUACGUGAUUAUAGAGGAUCAGGUCGAGCACCUAGAGGUCCUCAAGAAUUGUUUAAUUAUAGACAUUCAUCAUUGCGUAAUGUAAUUGAGCGAUGUUUUGGUGUUUUAAAAGCGCGAUUUUCAAUUUUAAAGGAUAUGCAUAAUUAUAGUUUACGUAAGCAACGUCUAAUUCCAAUUGCGUGUUGCGCUUUACAUAACUUUAUUCGACCAGAAAAUGCAAGUGAUAGGUUAUUUGGGGAUUUUGAUGUGCAAGAUUUGGUUACCAACGUAAAAGGAGACACUAGUAGGCCACUUACUAAUAUUGAUUUAUCUCCAACAAGUGUCGCCGAGAUGAGUGUUACAAGAGAUAGAAUUGCAGCUUCUAUGUGGCAUGAUUAUAUACGUAAUGUAUAAUGUCUAUCAUGUAUUUUUUUUAUAAUUAUUUUGUUUAAAUCAUGUGUUGUAAUAUAUAUCUUAAUUAUGAUGUAAAAACAAUGACAAUGUAAUUUUUUUUAAUUAAUGUUAAUUCUAAAACUUUAUCAUUAUGUAAAUUUUUUAUAAUUAUUUUGUUUUAAAUUAUUAUGUUGUAUUUUUCGGAUCGCCGUUAUCUAGAUGUCGGCUCGCCGUUAGUGUCCAGAGACUAAUCUUCAAUUUUGUUCGAUGUCGGAUCGCCGUUAUCUAUAUGUCGGAUCACCGUUAGUGUCCAGAGACUACUCUUCAAUUCUGUUCGAUGUCGGAUCGCCGUUAUCUAGAUGUCGGAUCGCCGUUAGUGUCCAGAGACUAAUCUUCAAUUCUGUUCUACGGCCAAGGCGGAUGUACGGUACAGCAGAUAGGAAAAAAUAUUGGUUAACUAGUUUAUAGUUUGUUGUUUAAGAUAUAAUGUGUUUAACUUGGAUGUUAUUUGGAUGUUACUGGUUGUGAACUGUGUGCUUGUUUAUUUUAUAGUUUGGACUUUGUAAUACUUUUAUUUGUUGAACUUUAUGUUAUUUUCAUAAGUUGAAAUGUGUUUGUUGAACUUUAUUUUAUGUUAUUUUUAUAAGUUGAAAUGUGUUUGUUGAACUUUAUUUAAUUUUAUUUUUGUGAGUUGAACUUUUUAUUUUUUUAGAUCAAUUAUCAUAUACUUGAAAUAUAAUCUAGGAUUUUUUUUUAAUCAGAUCAAAAAAAUGAACAACAACAACAAUGAAGAUGAUGAUAUUGACAGUUUAACAGAUAUUGAAGAAGAGGUUUUAGAGGUAGCCAUUGCUAUAAAAAAUUAUGAGAAACAACAGUGUGCUAUUAGAAGGCAAUGUUAUACAGGACAAUUGACUAGAAUUGAAUUUGUUCAAGAGUUGUUAAAUGGCCAUCCGGACAGGAUGUAUAACGUGUUUCGAAUGGAUAAAGAAGUUUUUAUUCGAUUAUAUUAUACACUUGAACAUUUACAGUUAUUAGAGAAUGAUAGACAUGUUUGUAUCAAGGAGGUUGUAGCAAUGUACUUGUAUAUAUUGUCCCAUGGCGUUGUUGUGCGGGUUGUAUCUGAGCGUUUUCAACGUUCAGCAGAAACUAUGUUUACACACUUUAAGCGUGUGUUAAAAGCAUUUUGUCACAUGGCAAAUCACAUUAUAAAACCAAAACCUCAAGGGGAAGCGCCAUCAGAAAUUAGAAACAAUCCAAUUUUUUUUUCCAUAUUUUGAGGUAAGAAAUUCAAUACACGUUACUUCAAUGUUUAUGUGACAUUAACAUUUGGUUAAUAAAUUAUUAAUUUUUUCAUAUUUUCACAGAAGCAUAUCGGUGCAAUUGAUGGAACCCGCAUUGCUGCAUGGUCACCAGCACAGAAACAGAUAUCAUAUCGAGAUAGAAAGACUCAGGUGACUCAAAAUAUCAUGUGUGCAUGUUCUUUUGACAUGAUGUUUACAUUUGUAUACACGGGCUGUGUUGUGUCUACCAAACGCAUAUUACAGUUUUUAGUUUUAAAAUAUAGGAUACAUAAAAUGAUACCAGACGCAUAAUUAAAUUCGAAAUACAGUAAAUGCAAAACAUCAUUUUCAUUUUCGUUUUUAUUCUAAAAAAAUACAGAUUCAAAAACAAUACCAAACAGGCCCUUAGAUGCCAUAAUUAAUUUGCCAAAUACGAAAAAUAAAAUGUCGUAGUAAUUGUUUUUUGAAUGAACAGUCUGCUGUACCGUACAUCCGCCUUGGCCGUACAGCAUAAUGUGUGAAUCAAAUUUUCUGCAGCUUGAAAGAAAUUUCCCUCAUUUUAAACAAACCGAAGAUGCUGGGCCAAGCACUGUUAAUAUAGAGGAAGCUUUUAGGGUACUAACACAGUGUGUCCACAGAAUUGAACACAAAAUGGAUUCGUUCAAUGUGAGAAUGGAAAUGGUUGAGAAGUCUUUGGAGGAAUUGAGAUCAAAGUCUCCGGUUGGUGCACCAUCAAAACAACCAUCUGAUCCAUGCCAGCCAUCUCCGAGCUUGAAAAUAGUAGAACCAACAUGUCCAGUCAGAAAAACCGAGCCAACCACUGAUGGAAAAAACAAAAUGGUAAUGGAUAGCGACGAGGACUCUGUGGAUCGCAGAUUGAACCUGAGCCUCGAUAAAAUAAUGGGCUGGAUGGGGACAAGAGAAAGAAUCGGUGAAUUUCGCAAAGAUCAUACCCACUUUGUCCCUAUUCCACCACCUAAUCUCCGAGAUGAGGUACAAUUUUAUAACGUCGUUUUCUUAAAAUUAUUUCGAUGAUAACUCACUUAUGAAGUAACUUACAUAUAAAUUUAUUUUUUAUAAAGGAUAUAGACGAACCAGUUCAACUUAAGCAAGAACCUCAAACAUCUACUAGUGUAAGUGUCCUGCCAACGCGACCAAGUAGGAAUCGUAGGCCAGGCCGAUAUCAACUUUCACCGUACGAUCAAGUGUCAAGGGGAGCAAAUCCCAAGUAUAAAGCUGGUCCGUUUCAAGUCAAUGAUCCAGUUAUGCUGGAAGAAUGAAGCUUAUUCAAUAUGCUUUUAACAAAAAGGCUGACGCAAGGUAAAAUUUAGAAGACUGAAAUUAGUUUUCUAUAUAUAGUUAUUAUGCUAUACGACAAAAAAAUUACCGUCUUUUGUCUUUAGUGAAAUCGUUGUUUCUAGUUACGACGAAAUUCUUAAUCGGCAUUCUUUAUUGACUCUUUUGCCGGGGGCUUAUUUAUGUGGCGAGGUAUUAGGUUUCAACAUUUGGUGAUGUCACAAUAUAUGUUUGUCCUUUAUUAUAUGUUAUUAUAUAUCUCAAUAAAUAUGAUCACUUUUAGGUGAUUUCUAUGAAAACGCAUCACCUCACCCUCAUUCAGUAGGUGGUGGAGAAAGAUGUGCCAAUGAACUGGUAUUUACCAACAAGUAUAAAGGAUAUAGACGAACCAGUGCAACUUAAGCAAGAACCUCAAACAUCUACUAGUGUCAGUGUCCUGCCAACGCGACCAAGUAGGAAUCGUAGGCCAGGCAGAUAUUAACUUUCACAGUACGAUCAAGUAUUGAGAGGAGUAAAUCCCAAGUAUAAAGCUGGUCCGUUUCAAGUCAAUGAUCCAGUUAUGCUGGAAGAAUGAAGCUUAUUCAAUAUGCUUUUAACAAAAAGGCUGACGCAAGGUAAAAUUUAGAAGACUGAAAUUAGUUUUCUAUAUAUAGUUAUUAUGCUAUACGACAAAAAAAUUACCGUCUUUUGUCUUUAGUGAAAUCGUUGUUUCUAGUUACGACGAAAUUCUUAAUCGGCAUUCUUUAUUGACUCUUUUGUUGGAGGCUUAUCUAUGUGGAGAGGUAUUAGGUUUCAACAUUUGGUGAUGUCACAAUAUAUGUUUGUCCUUUAUUAUAUGUCAUUGGAGUUCCAAAGCAAAGGAAUGGAUAUGACUGUGGGGUUUAUGUGAUAAACUAUAUGGACAACCCAGAAUUUAUUCCGAAGAAAUCGUCAACUUUGGUACGACUAUGCCAAACUUGUUUAAUGGUUGAACUCAAAAUUUUGUUAACUUCAUAAUUAUAUAAAACCUAUUAGUUAUAUGAAAGUAAUAUUAGUUUCCUUUCAAAUUGACUAGUACACAUCUGAGGAUACACGGGGUAGGCUAGCCAUUCAACUAAUUAAUUCUGCAUUGAAUCAAAAUCGAGAUAAAUUGCUAGAACUAAGCAGCGCACAGUUUGCGAUUCAUGCUGUAAUGGUGAACCCUGUACCUGGGAGCUUAUCUAUGUGCCGAGGUAUUAGGUUUCAACAUUUGGUGAUGUCACAAUAUAUGUUUGUCGUUUAUUAUAUGUUAUUAUAUAUCUGAAUCAAUAUGAUCACUUUUAGGUGAUUUAUAUGAAAGCGCAUCACCUCACCCUCAUUCAGCAGGUGGUGGAGUUAUAUGAAAGUAAUAUUAGUUUCCUUUCAAAUUGACUAGUACACAUCUGAGGAUACACGGGGUAGGCUAGCCAUUCAACUAAUUAAUUCUGCAUUGAAUCAAAAUCGAGAUAAAUUGCUAGAACUAAGCAGCGCACAGUUUGCGAUUCAUGAUUUUUUUCAUGAUCUAUUUAACAUUAUCAGUUAUGUAUAUUGUGUUAUAUUCAUAUCCAUAAUAUUGUCUGGUUUUCGACAUUGCCGACAGCUACAUUCCUUGGAUUGGAUUCUGCAGCCCCAAUUGCCAAGCAAUAUGCAAAACGUGAAGUUUCAAGACUUUCCAAUCAACCGGGACAUUGGAGUUCCAAAGCAAAGGAAUGGAUAUGACUGUGGGGUUUAUGUGAUAAACUAUAUGGACAACCCAGAAUUUAUUCCGAAGAAAUCGUCAACUUUGGUACGACUAUGCCAAACUUGUUUAAUGGUUGAACUCAAAAUUUUGUUAACUUCAUAAUUAUAUAAAACCUAUUAGUUAUAUGAAAGUAAUAUUAGUUUCCUUUCAAAUUGACUAGUACACAUCUGAGGAUACACGGGGUAGGCUAGCCAUUCAACUAAUUAAUUCUGCAUUGAAUCAAAAUCGAGAUAAAUUGCUAGAACUAAGCAGCGCACAGUUUGCGAUUCAUGCUGUAAUGGUGAACCCUGUACCCUCUCAAGUGCAAAAGCCAUUUCACCAACAAAGCGGCAACAUUCGUAAGAAGAAGAAAGUUAACACGAGAACGCGCGCUUAGAUAUCGAACCAUACUAGGGAAUGAUUAUGCAAGUGAUUGCAUACUAUUUUUUUUUGUAAGUUGUUUGAAACGUGUUGGGAGGUCAUACCGUGACUUUUUUUGUCUUCUUGCUUACGAUGGUUGUAAAAUCAAUUUUAAUGGAGAAUUAUCUUUAAAUUUAUGACAUGGUUAUGUAUUCUCGGCCGAGACAUUAUUUAACUAUAAUGAACAUAUGCAUGUUAACAGUGUUCACAUCUCAUCAUUUGAUAUUGAACUGGUUGUCAUGUUGGUACAUGAUAGUGGAAUUCAAAUGGUAAUACAUAUUGACUCAUUUUAAUGGCACUGAUUAAUGAGGCCACCAAUAAAAAACAUUAGAAAAUCGGUUGCUUGCAUGACCUAACAAUGUUGGAUUGACACCAGCAAAGGCUCCAGGAUUCUGGGUGCUUGAUGAAUCGACUGCGGCAAAACAACAAAUGGAUUGAUUAUGAGGCAUUUCACACUUAGUGAGUACCAAUUAUAGGUGUUGACAUUAUUCGAUGCGUACGAUUGUCUUUGUGCUUUUAGCACAAUAUAUAAUUCAUAAAAUUUAAAUCCAGUUAUUUCUUAGAGUUCUAGAAAUAAGCAGGGGCAAGAAACUAUGACUAUGAACUGGCACCCCACACACGGAUCCUCUGUUCAAUUGGAACCCGACAACAUGGACAUGUAGCUUUCCCCUUCUUUCCAUAAUUGUCACUGCAAUUGGCACACAAAACUUGGUGCGCACAUGGCAAGAAAACAAUUGAAACUUCAUCUUUCAAACAAAUUAUACAUUCCCUAUCACAGUUGGUUUUUUCUGAUCGCAGCCGAGUGAGGCAGUUUGCUGUUUUUUCUUGGAGACGAAACCGGAUAGCCGGUUAUUCAAACCGGAAAUUCGGAUUCGCUUGGCUAGGUCACUGCCCACAACCGGUUAGCCGGUUAAGAAUUUCCGGAUAGCCGGAUUCGCGAGUAUAUAAACUGUUCAUCUCCUCAUUUAUCUUUUGGUAAACCGGUUAGCUUUCUCUCUCUAAAACUGAUUAUUCCUCUCUCAUUUUCUCUCCAAAAUCCAUCAUUUUCACAUGUUUUUUAUACAAAUGGAUCCAUGAAACUUGUUUCCCAUCCGGUCUUGUAUCCAAAAUCAUCCUUUAAACCUUUUUUUCAACCUCAAAAUCAAUAGAUCCGAAAUCAAUUCUAGGGUUUAAGUCGAAACUUCUCUCUCUAUAUUUCUCCCUCUGAAGCCGUUUUUGAUUGAAAUUGCUUCUCAAAAUCUCUUUCCAUCCUUAUUAUCUCCCUUCUCAUUGAUUUAUUUCACUUCAAAUCAAACAAAUUCACCAUGUCAAGCUCACGGCCGGUUCGAAGAAAAGGCAAAUAACUGGUUCAACAUACCAACCGGUCACGACAAGCAGGGGGCACAUCCAAUAAAUCCAACUUUGAGGCCACACACUUUCAGAACCACAAACAUCUAGCCAAACGAUUUCACCAACAGUUCAUGACUCGUGAGGUACUCUAAACCUUUUUUGUUUUACCGGAUUGGUUGAAUAAUCUUAGUAUUAGCAAUAGAACUUUAUUGCAAUUGUUGGAAGAUGUUGGUUGGCUUAAUGCAAUUGUUUUUUAGGAAAAUGUAUAUCCCGACUUGGUGAAAGUGUUUUACUCGAAUAUGGAUUGUUUCGCGGAGAAAGAGAAUCGAGUAAUCACCACAGUUGGAGGAGUUUCGAUUGAGUUUGAUGAUUCGGAGUUGAACUAGAUCAGGCCAUUUGGAUGAGGUUUCUCAUAUGGAUGUUGCCUUGAUUGAUUGUAUUCUUAGACAUCGUCCAGUCGACUUAGGAUACACCAUUGUCCGAAACAUGCUUAGUAUACCUAAGUUGAUUACUCGUUCCCUUCCGUAUGGUCAUUUCAUCACCCGAAUCCUCAAAUACUUUAGCGUCCAUAUCCAAGAACCAUCAUGUAGGCCAUCUAAGAGCAUUGGGGAUGAGGCUGUUAGUUCUUUAGGUUUUGAGUGUCGUAAUGGCACUUGGGUAAAAGUCACUGAUAAUAAGUUCACCUUUCUUGCUCCAAGUGAUGAUCGGCCACUUAAUGCUGUGGUUCCAGCCCAUCAGCUACCUGUUUUUUCGCUUUCAUUUCGGGGUCAGCGUAGACGUCGAGCUCCUUCAGUAUCUCCCUCGGCUCCUACAGCCUCUGCACCUGCUUUACCACAUCCCGAGCCUCCUACUUCUGAAGAAGUUACUCUUCAACAGCUUAUGGAUGAGGUGAGGACACUCUCUGUGCGGCAGACUAAGUUUCACCAGCAGCAGCAGCAGCGUAUUCAUGGACAGCGCAUCCUCUUUGAGCACUUCGGCAUUCCAUAUCCAUAUCCAUCUCCAUCACCACCAUCCUCACCACCUCAGUAGUCUCUUAUGCUUGUAUUUGGACACACCUACAUUUCAUUAUAAUUUAUGGAGUUAAGUUGUUUUUCAUAAUCUUUGAUUUUAAUAUAUUGAUGAUUAUGUUCAUAUUGAUGCUGUUGAGAAUAUAUGUCGUCGUAUUGACCUUUCGGAUGAUGAUUGUACUAUCCAUUUUCGCACCCAAUGUCUUUGUCUUCAAACUCGGAUAUUACUUCGUUUUAUUCAGAGUAUUGUGCUUCCUAGAUCAGGCCAUUUGGAUGAGGUUUCUCAUAUGGAUGUUGCCUUGAUUGAUUGUAUUCUUAGACAUCGUCCAGUCGACUUAGGAUACACCAUUGUCCGAAACAUGCUUAGUAUACCUAAGUUGAUUACUCGUUCCCUUCCGUAUGGUCAUUUCAUCACCCGAAUCCUCAAAUACUUUAGCGUCCAUAUCCAAGAACCAUCAUGUAGGCCAUCUAAGAGCAUUGGGGAUGAGGCUGUUAGUUCUUUAGGUUUUGAGUGUCGUAAUGGCACUUGGGUAAAAGUCACUGAUAAUAAGUUCACCUUUCUUGCUCCAAGUGAUGAUCGGCCACUUAAUGCUGUGGUUCCAGCCCAUCAGCUACCUGUUUUUUCGCUUUCAUUUCGGGGUCAGCGUAGACGUCGAGCUCCUUCAGUAUCUCCCUCGGCUCCUACAGCCUCUGCACCUGCUUUACCACAUCCCGAGCCUCCUACUUCUGAAGAAGUUACUCUUCAACAGCUUAUGGAUGAGGUGAGGACACUCUCUGUGCGGCAGACUAAGUUUCACCAGCAGCAGCAGCAGCGUAUUCAUGGACAGCGCAUCCUCUUUGAGCACUUCGGCAUUCCAUAUCCAUAUCCAUCUCCAUCACCACCAUCCUCACCACCUCAGUAGUCUCUUAUGCUUGUAUUUGGACACACCUACAUUUCAUUAUAAUUUAUGGAGUUAAGUUGUUUUUCAUAAUCUUUGAUUUUAAUAAAUUAUUGUUUUGAAUUUCGGAUUUGGACCUAUUUCAAAAUAUUUAAAUGUUUUGGGUCAUUCUAUAAUUUCUCAUAUUUUGGAUCAUAUCUUAAUUUCAAAAAGUUUUGAGUUUAAUAAAGUAAUAAUUAGGAAUUCUAAAAUUGGACCAAUUUGGAAAUUUUUAUAACGUUUUGGGUCAUAACAUAGUUUCAUACAAUUUUGAGGUUAAACUGUAUUUUUAAAACAUAAUUCAUUGUAACACUUCACGUAGAAUAUACAACUUAUCACGUAAAGUUCGUAACUUCGACAUCAAACAUGAAACGGACGAGAAUAUUUCAGAAUAUUCUUUAUUUUGGCUUAAUUCAACACAUGCAACAUCUUACGUCAAAUAUGAAAUCCAACCGUCAGAUAUGCAACAACAUACGUUAAACAUGAAACUUGCAAUACUUCACGCCAAACUUAUCACGUAAAGUUCACAACUUCGAGGUCAAACAUGAAACGGACGAGAAUAUUCUAGAAUAUUCUUUAUUUUAGCUUUAUCAAAAACUUGCAACAUCGCACGUCAAACAUGAAAUCCUACCGUCCAACAUGCAACAACUGACGUUAAACAUGAAACUUGAAACACUUCACGUGAAAUCUACGACUUAUCACGUCAAGUUCGCAACAUGGACAUCAAACAUGAAACGGGGGAGAAUAUUCGAGAAUAUUAUUUAUUUUGGCUUUAUUCAAGACAUGCAACCUCUAACAUCAAACAUGCAAUCGAGACGUCGGAUAUGCAACAACUGGCGUUAAACAUGAAACUUGCAACACUUGAUGUGAAAUAUACGACUUAUCACGUCAAGUUCGCAACAUGGACACUUCACGCGAAAUAUGCAACUUAUCACGUAAAGUUCGCAACUUCGACGUCAAACAUGAAACGGACGAGAAUAUUCGAGAAUAUUCUUUAUUUUGGCUUUAUCCAAAACAUGCAACAUUUAACGUCAACAUGAAACCGAGACGGCCGGCAUGCAACAACGGAUGUUAAAACAUGCUAUUUGCAAUACUGCACGUGAAAUAUGCAACUUAUCACGUAAAGUUCGCAACUUCGACGUCAAACAUGAAACGGACGAGAAUAUUCGGGAAUAUUCUUUAUUUUGGCUUUAUUCAACACAUGCAACAUCUUACGUUAAACAUGCAAUCGAGAUGUCGAACAUGCAACAACUGACGUUAAAACUGAAAUACUAUUUUCUCACUUCCCAAACACCUGUAAUAUAAUUUUUUUUUUAGAUUUUAUUAUUUUAGAAAAUUAUAUUUUGUACAUGAUGAAAUAACUUUAAUCGGUGAAAUCUAAAAAUUAAAGGAUAAGACUAUUUGAACUCAUAAAAGUAUUUAUUAUAUGAAGAUAGUUUAAGAAUAUAAAAUUUUAGAUGAAAAUUGGUUUGAACUUUGAAGAGUAAUCUUAGGGGCUAGAGUAACAAGCUAACUGCAAUUUUUCAUUAUAUUGGGGUGAAAAUGUAAAUGAAAGAGAGAGUCAGGAGCUAACUGCAAUUUGCCAGUACUCAUCUCGCAAAAGACAAAAACUGGGGUUAUGGCGUCGUAGGGACACCGUAGCCGGAACCUCGUGUAUAUAAGAUACAUUUCUGUCUUCAAAACGAUUUUUUAUUGAUCAUUCAUAAUUUAAAUAAUUCAAAAAGAGUUAUUUCCUUUUUUGGAAUUAUCCAAAUUUAUCAUGGAUAAAUCUAUCAAAUUUAGCUAAAAAAAUUGAAAAGCAAAGAUGUAAUGAGAUCUUUUAGGGGUGUUCGCAGAUCGGAUUUUACAAAUUAGACAUCAAUCCAUAUCCGAUCCACAAUUUUGUGGAUUAUAAUUUUUCAAUCCAAUCCAAUCCACGGAUUGAUUAAACUCAAUCCAAAUUCAAUCCAUACUUCUGCGGAUCGGAUGCGGAUUUGACUAAAUCCAUAUCUAAUCCAUACGUUUGCGGAUUGGAUGCGGAUUUAACUUAAUUCAUAUCCAAUCCACCAUUUUACGCAUUAGUUUCUGAAUUAAAAAUUUUUAGUUCUCCCCAAUCCAUGAACUAAUGAAAUUAAAAAAAAUCUAAUAUAAAAAUAAUUAAAAUUGAAUAAAAUUUAAACAAAUUAAUUGUUUAAAUAAAACUAAAAUAAUACAUUCAAAGUUUCAAAAUAUAGCACAUUGAGAUUAAUUGUUCAAAUAAACCUACAAUAAUACGUUUAAAGUUUCAAAAUACAACACACUAAGAUUAAUUGUUCAAAUAAAGUUACAAUAAUACAUUAAUAUAACAUCGAAAUUAAUUGUUCAAAUAAAGUCACAAUUAAUUGAAAUGGCAAAGUUUAUGAAACCAAACACAGUCUGAUCCUUCACCAGGGCUAUUGCACUUGUCUUAAAGUGGUGAUUAUGGAGCCGUCAACGAUGGGAACCAGGAGAAGUACGGGUGGCGAUCUUGAAGGUUGUGAUAGUGCAAUUGUUUGGCUGGAACUAGUGAUUGUGAAGUGGUUCGAUGGACUCGGGGAAGAAGAUGGCUUGCUCUCGCUGGAAUCACGUGGUCGAUGUCCUUCAAAUCGGUGUCGAGAGUGUAUCGAACCAGUAUUGGGUGUUGCUAGUGCGUGUGACGGCAGAAAAGCUUAGGGUUUUUUGUUUGCAAAUUAUUGGUGACUUGGCGUUAUGUUAUUUUGCUUUUGGGUGACUUUGCAAAUUGUUAGUAACUUGGCGUUAUGUUACUUUGCUUUUGCUAAUGCGUGUGACUUUGCUUUUAUUUUGUUGUAUAAUUUUUACAAGUUAUAUUUGUAUAUUUGUAUAUUUGAUUAUUUAAUUAUUUUUUAUUUAAUAUUAUUAUUGGGUAAUGGCUAAGAUAUGUUAUAAUGCUUAUGUAACUAUGUAAUGUCAUAUUUAUAAUAUUCUUUAAUUAAAUUUAUAAUAAUUUUUUAACUAAAUAAACAAAUAUAUAUAUAUAUAUAAUUUUUUUUGCGGAUUCACGGAUUUUUACGGAUUUACAGAAGUAAAUCCAUAUCCAAUCCAUCAACUGCGGAUUUCUAAAUUUUCAAUCCAUAUCCAAUCCACGGAUCCACGAAUCGGAUUUAUACAGAUCGAAUUUUCACGGAUCAUACGGAUUGAGCGGAUCGAAUUGGAUUCUAAACACCCCUAAGAUCUUUUAUAAACUAUCGGAUGUAAAGAUCAUUUACCCAAUAUAUAAUAUAAGUAGGAAUAAUGUUGUAAAAGUGCAAACGCAGUCACAAAUAACGCUAAUUUUCAGCGGUACUCAGAAAUCCUCUUAAGCAUACCAAAGGCCUUAUUAUCUCGGGUAUAUCUUCGCCGUAAAGAUAAUGACAAAGUACGCCUUUAUCGAUGACAGCCAUUGCACCCUCAGCAGCAGCUCUAUGAUCAAAAGGAAGUUUUAAUGCUAAGUAAUCACGAGCCAUUCUUGCGAGGGUAGGAUAAAAUGGAGCAUUGCCACGCCACCAAGCUAGUAUGUCAAACUCUUCUACUGCUGGUACUUUAAGCUCUUUCAUAUACAGAUCAAGUUCUGAUUUUGGUGAUGAAGGCCUCCCCAUGGCGUCUGGCAUUUCAUAUGACUUUGAAUUGUUGGAGUCGGUUGCUGCAUAUGCAUCAUAAACGUCUCUAAAAUCUUCAUUAAUUUUCUCAAGGUAUCUAUCAGCAUCACUGCCAUAUAUCUCUUUGCAACGAAGUUGCACGCCAUCCAUUUUGAACCGUGGGUCGAGAAUUACUGCAAUAGCUCUAAUCGAAUAAUAAUUGCUAAAAUAUAGAUCAAUAGCUGCCUUCAUCACUUUUUUACAAAAAAGACAAUCUUCAAUUGGGUGGUUGCAUCGAUCCUUUAAUAUCUUAUGCACGUAUGGAAGAUCUACAAUUAUUGGAGUAUCACAUUUACCCGACGAAAAGCCGACAGCAGCAUCCUUCAAGAAUUUCAAAUGCUCAAAUGUGGCAGUUACAUCAUCCCAUUUUUGUUCAGUUAAAUUAAUUGAUCUAAAAUCGGAAUCUAAUUGCCCCAGCUCAAAAAAUGCUUCUUUAAAGCCCAUUGCCGUCGCAAAGUACUUAAAAUGUCCCCAGGGAUCAGGAACACGAUUGAGCCAGCAAAUGGCUCUUUGUACAUCACCAUCCAACUGAAUUCGUUCAUCUGAUCCCGACUUGUUAACCACAUAAUGAGCACACUCCUUUAAGGACUGUAUCCCAUCCCUGAAGUAAUCUUCGGAUCGCAAUACACCAUCAAUAUAAUCCAUUAAACGAUCGGCAUUACGCAGGCAGCCGGCAAAAGAAGAGAACCUUGUUGACUAAACCAACUUUCCUCAUCAUAUGCUGGAUGAAUUUGAAAAGGAACAAGUACAGAGCAUAUUUUCCCAUGGAUACUCAAACAUGAAUAUUAUAAAUUUUGAUCAUAUUCAGGAUAUGCAGACAACUUUUGCCUUCAAAGAUCUAGGUAACCUUAAUUAUUUUCUAAGAGUUGAAGUUACCAAAGCAUUUGAUGGGAUUCAUUUGCCACAAACCAAAUACAUUGAUGAUCUUUUGGCCAAAAAUGGCAUGGCAAAAUGCAGUUCAGUACCUACAUCUAUGUCCACAGGGCAUUGUCUCACAAAGGAUUCAGGGAUGUUAUUGAAAAUUCAUCUCAAUACAGGAGUAUUAUAGGUGCAUUGCAAUGUGUCUCUCACCAGGCCAGAAAUAGCUUUCUCAGUUAAUAAAUUCAGUUUCUAGCUUGUCCUAUAACUCAACACUGGGAAACUUGCAAACGACUGCUAAGAUACUUGAGAGGAACUAUCAAGUUUGGCUGCACUUCUUAACCUGUGGAGAUAUGCAGCUUAGCUGUUUCACAAACUCUGACUGGGCUUGUGAUCGAGAUGAUCAAAAAUCUGUGGCUGGAUUUUCCAUUUAUCUAGGCCCCAACCUAGUUUCUUGGUCUUCAAAGAAGCAAUCUGUUGUGCCCAGGUUAAGCACAGAAGCUAAGUAUCGAGCCUUAGCUCAUGCUGCAUCAGAGGUAAUUUGGAUACAAUCUUUACUUGCAGAGCUGCAAAUCAAGCUCAAUACAACCUCAAUUAUUUGGUGUGACAAUCAUGGAGCAAUUGCCUUGGCAUAUAACCUAGUGUAUCAUGCUAGAAAAAAGCACGCUGAACUGGACAUACACUUUGUCAGAGAUAAAGUUGUAGCUAAGGUAAUAGAAGUUUGUUUUAUACCUAGUACAGACCAAACAGCAGAUAUUUUGACCAAGGCACUUACCAAUGGCCAUUGGCCAGUUUGACAAUUUGCGCAGCAAGCUGAAUGUUCAUCCUAGACAUUUCAGCUUGAGAAGGGACGAUAAUGAAUAUAAGGAUGCAAAGGAUGCAGAACAUAAUAAUAUUGUGUUGACAACAGCUGCUGAUUAGCUUGCUAAGCUAGCUGAUGUGGCAAAAUUAGUUGGUUAGUUAGAAUAUACAAAGUGUAGCAAUCUCAGCUUACUAUAAAUAUGUAAAACUGUAUGUACUCCCGUUUGUUAAUCAGAUUAUCUACAAGCUUCCAUUAAAUUGUACAAAGUUUAUUUCAAUGAUUUUCUCUCAACUUUCUAGCUCGCCAAACAUCUUCUUCAAAUUCGCUCACUUAGUAGUUCUCACAUUAACUUUUUCAUUAUAGUGUUUCGGUUUCUUUUAAGUCUACUCAUCCAUGAUUAAAGAGAACAACAGAAAGAAAAAGAAAAAAAAAAGAUAAGUAAAGACCUUAUCAGAACUUCGAAGACUUUGUUUAUAUCUAUAGAAUUAUAUUGAGAGCUAAAAAUGUCAUACGUUUUAGUACAGUUUAGUAAGUCUUUUUUGUUAUUUUACUUUUUCUAUUUUAGUUGAAUUUGUCUAAAUAAUUUUAUUAUUUCGCUUACUCUAAUCUCUUGUGCGAUGUAGAUAUAUAAAGAUAUGACUUUAUACAAACUCUCCAUAAAAUCCAAUUAAUAAAAACAACUAUACAAACCAUGCUACAUUUAUUCAAUUAAUACUUUUAUGCCAUAUUAGUUUAUGUAAAAGAUUGAUGGUUGUUUAUCCUUUAUUUUAAAUUUAAAAGGAAAAAAAAACUUACCUAAAUUACUGAUUUCUUAUUGGGAGGGAAACCCAACAAAAAAAGGGAGAGAGAGAGAAAGAAACAAAGAAAAGGUAAAGCAAAAAAAAAAAAAAAAUCACUGAACUAAAAAGUAAAUUGAGAGGAAAGAACAAUUGACCCCAUUUUCAGCCAGCUUUUCUCAUAGCUUUUGGGAUCAUAUUGUCAUUUAUUAUAGAAUUAUAAUAAGGCUAAUUAAUUUCUUCGGAGCUUAGAAGACUUCUAUAUAAACAAAUAUCUAUUAAUUGCUAUUAAGUCUUUUUAUUUAUUUCUAAUUUUUCUCAUUUUAGUUGAAUUUGUCUAAAUUAUUUGAGUAUUAUUUAGCUCAGUCUAAUCUCUAGUCCGAUAUUGAUAUAUAGAGAUGUGACUUCACAUGAACUUUCAACAAAAUCCAAUUAAUAUUGAUCAUGUUGUAUUUAUUCAAUUAAUCUUUUGCACCACAUAUUAGUUUAUUAAAAAAAAUGAUGGUUGUUUAUCCUUUAUUUUAGAUUUUAAAAAAAAAUAACUUAUCUAAAGUACUGAUUACUUAGAAUUUGAAAAAAUUAAAAAAGGAAACAAAGAAAAGAUAAGCAAAAAAAUCACUAAAGUAAAAGUAGCACUACAAAGGAAAUUGUGGGGAUAGAACAAGUGACCCAUUUUAGACAGCUCUUUUCAUUGGCUUUUUGAGCCAUAUUGGCAUUCAUGACAGACUUAGGCUCGUUUGAUAUAACUUUUUAAAAAGAACUUUAAUAAGUAGAAUUUUUGUUAGUAAAAUUUAUAUUAAAAAAAUUUAUGUGUUUGGUUGCUAAUGAAAGCUUUUAUUAAAAAUUAUAAAAUUACUUUAAUAAACAAGGUUUUUAAAGUUAUCUUAUAAAAAGAAUAAAUAAAAUUGUCAAAUAAAUAAAUAAUAUUUUAUACAUUUUAAUAAUUAAGAAAAAAACUUUUCAACCUCUACUCUCAUUUGAGCUUUUGCUAGUAUAUGUAAAAUAAUCUAUUUAAUCUUCAAAAACUCUACUAAAAAAACAACUAAACAACAACAAAAAUUUUGAUAAAAGCUUAUAAGAUUAAACAAGUACUAUAAUCAUCAAAUAAGCAUACUUAAUAGGUAAUUAUAAUAUAGCUUCAUUAAUUUCUUCAGAUAUUCGAGGACUUAUUUAUACACACACACACAUUGAGAGCUCACAAGAUAGAUAGAACCAGUUCUCUGAUUGAAGAGAUAGAGGUUGGAGCUUGGAAGGAGAAAGAUAACUAAAAGAGGAGGAUCUGCAACUCUCAUUCAAUUUUAUCAGCAACCAAGUAUUUUCAAGAAAGCAUUUUGUAUUAAUUUUGUAUCAUUUUUUCAUAUCUUUAAUCGUUUUAUUAUUAUUAUCACUAUUACUGAGUUAUAAAAACACACACACUUUGGUUUACUUAAUUGAAACAAAAAAGAGUGAGUUUGAUGUGGUAACUGGUAUGUUAUCUGUUUGUUUUGCAGGCUGUAAAUUCAAGUUUUAAACCGGUAACUGCUAGUCUACUGGCCAUGAAGGUGCGUUUGUCUUACUCUCUAUAGAUUAAUAACGGUCUAAAUACAAAAGGCAUACAGAGAGCAUAACUGUUAUUUACUAAUGUUAAUGAAAAAGUGGAGAAUUUUUGGGUGAUUUAUUUUUGGAUGUGAUGGCAAGCAUGUCUUAUUUAUAAAAUUGAGGGUGUUGACCUUGCAACAACAAUCUAUGUGAAGGCAGCCUAACUACUAGUGAUUUGUGGACUUUGUGUCGUUCCAUCUUCAAUAGUUGUUUAUGCUUUAAUCGCAAAAGUAAUUUAGUAGCUUCAUAUAUUUGAGCUAGCACAUCUGUGAAACCUGGCGAUAGCAAUUGGGAUUUCAUGCACGAACGAAAAAAUAGACGUCGUCCUCGAAUCAGAUUGUGUUAAAAAAGUUCAGGAAUUAUAUUCUUGAUGUUCGAAGCAGUGACCUUGUUAACAAGCCCGUUGAUACUCUUACAGAGAGCAUCCCAUGUCAAACGACACUGCUGCUGCUGCGGCCGCUGAUACUCCACACUGCUUUCAUCAUCUUUCAUCAUCAUCAUCAUCAGUGCCGACUUAAUAGGCAGAAUAUAAACCCCUCCAGUCCCACCCAAACUUCUCAGUGAAGAAUCACUGUUCAUGGCAUUACCUUCUUGCCUCGUACUUUUACUAGCCAUAACCACCCUAAUCUACUUAACUCCCACGAGAAUUAAUGUUAUCAAUUCCAAUAUAAACAGUUUAAGGCAAAAUAAAUUGUGACUCUGAUUGCUAAAAUGCAGGGUACUAUGUUAAGCAAAAGCAAGGCAACACCACAAGUCCUCGUCGUAUUUGUUUGUGUUGCAGUGCUUUUGGUUUUGUGUGUGUGUAUAAUGGUGCUCACGUAAAAAGACCAACUUUAAUGUACUUUUUUUAAUCUUUUUAAUAUUUAUUGAAAUUUAUAUUUAUAUAAACUAGUUCUGAUAAAACUUGGAUUUUGUUUCUUCGGCCCGAUCGAGUGAUCCGUCAAUAAUGGAACCUGAUGCAGUCGAUUUAAUCUUUUAUGAUAAAUAAUAAGCUCAUUUUUAUAUCUUCAAAAUUUAUUGUGCAUAUUUUUAUUUUUUUGGGGUUCCGAGGGGUUGGGUUGACGUUUUUUUAACAGAUAUAAGCAUAUAUAACUCGUAAAUGGAUGAUGGACGUCUGUUACAGCCUUAGAACUCGAGGCACGCCAAUGCUUGGCUUGCGGCCUUGUGCCAAGCAUAAUGAGGCAGCGGACGUGCGAGAAAACAAGGCAAGUCUGCACGCGGGCUGGGGCGUGGCAGCAACUAGCGGGCUGAUGGGCAGCACGCGAGAUAUGUGCGAGGCAGCGCACAAGUGGUCCGAGGGUAUAGCGCGCACACGAAUGUGCGCAAGGCAUGUGCACGCUGAUGGGCAGCGGGCGAGCGUACGCAGCGGGCAGCAUGCAGCAUGCGCGCGCACAAAACGCGCCAGGCAGCACGCACGCGCACGCUUACGGAUAGCGGACAGGCGCGCCAAGGGAGCGCACACGCACGGAACAUGUGCCACACACAAGCAUCAGGCCAAGGGGAUUAUGGUCCGCCACUAUUCAAUGUAACGCAAUAAUAGUGUAUGGGCAAAGUACUAGGGUAGUGGGCUUAAUUGUUUAGUGAGCUGGUGGGAGACGAAGAAUAUUGUGGGAUUACAUUAUUCUUAUCCUAGUGAGUGGGGUUGUCACUCACAAAUGCUAUAUAUAGCAUUGGGGGAGAGAGCUUCGGCGAG
rnacentral:lncRNA from 1 species